rnacentral:lncRNA from 1 species
UUCCAAUUGCAUCCUACCACUAAUGAAAGACAAAAAUACUCUUAUUUUGUACGCAGAUUUUUUUAAUAUAUAAAAUUAUAGAGAAGUCGUAUCUUUACAUAAUUUACCUUCUAUUCUAUCACUUUUAUUAGCUGCCAUCAUUCAAGAAAACUAAUUUUUGAAUAUUGAAUGAUAAAAAUUCUAAAGAGAAUGAGAUGGAUGACAGAUGGUUGAGCGACUUAUGGCUGAUGUUGUGCACCAAAUUUAUAAAACAACAUCACCGAAGAUUUAAGAUCUAAUUAGAUUACUUUUGACUUGGCCUUUCGCUUUACAACAACAAAAUUUCUAUGCCUAAUUCCUCAUAGAAAUCGACAUUUCGCUAUCCAAUUCAAUCUCUUCCACCCUAAGCCAUCAAAUUCAAACACUAAGUAAAAAUUCGGAGGCUGCAAACAGUGUCCUCGGAGUCGAUUAGUCCAAAUUUUGACUGGUAGAUCUCCCUCAUGGGAGGGAAACACCACAAAAAUUCCGUGUGGAAAAAAAACAUGGAAUCCUAUUCCUUGUGCUCUUUACGAUUCUACCCUCCCUUUUCAUAAAAGCUGAUGCAACAAAAAGAAAUUCCUUCUAUUUUUAGGUGGGUUUUCACAAGCGUAUCCCUAUAAAUUUGUGUAAUUGUGAAUAUAUUUCUAAUAAAUUCUGUAUUUAACACAGCUGACUUAUCGUUUAAUGGGUGUCUGUGAUUCUUGCUUCACACUUUUUAGCUGAGUUUAUUUUUAAAAAUUGAAUCGCGAAUAAAAUUUUCACUAAAACAAACAUAAAUAGCGAUUUGACAACAGUAAAGUCAACUUUUUAUGGUUGGAAAGGAGAAAAAAAAAAUAAUGUCACGAUCCAAUUCCCAGAGAAUUUCUAUCGAUCACCGAGCCUAUGGCUCGAUUAAUUAGAUAUUCAAAAUCCUUGUGGGGCCGAACUCACUAGCCCAAAAUACUUAAGUAUAAUUACUAGACGAUUGGUUUCAAGAAACACUAACCCUCAAUUAGGGGUGUCUUCCACCACCAAACAAAGAAACAAACCCAGAGGCUUGUGUUGUUUCUCCGGAUCUUAAAAGAGCCAAGGUUCCAACUAUUUGAAAAGGAACCCAACCAUAAAACAAAAGAAAACAAAAAAGGGAAACAAUAAACACAAAGAAACUAUUUUAGAAGGCAUCGAAAAUCCAAGGGGAACAAAGGUUUCCUUACAAGAAAGAAACUCCCCAUUUUCUCAAAAAAAAAAAAAAAAAGAAGAAAGAAACUCCCCAUUAAAUACAAACCCCAUUCCCAUACUUAAAGCAACUCAAAGACACACAUAUUCUUUAUCAUUAACUAACUAAAUGAUACUUCUUUGUACCCCUAAAAUGUCACAAACAAAUACUUUCAAUAUUCUAACCAAGUGGGUCUUAUUCUACCUUUUUGCUGUAAUUUCACCAAAAUUAGACGGACCCAAGUGUCAUUUUACAUCAAUAAGAGAAAUCGCAAGCUAUGACAUCGACGGUGGGGACGAAGUUGCGAGGAAACAAUUAAUGGGGCAAAUUAAGUGCCAUGGCAAAAUUCACUUUGCUAAACAUAGGACUUGGUGGGAAAAUACGAUACAAAUUAACGACUCCCUUUUAGCCAACACGUACAUGAUGACCGCAUUAAUGUUGUUAGGGAAACCAAAAAAAAAAAAAAAAAAAAAGAAAAAAAAAAUGAAAUGAAACGUGACAAGGUAUUUGACUACGCAUCUUAACUUCAUCCCCACGCCUCUCUCUUAUUCUACGCACAUCCAUUAAUUUUUUUCUUUUCUCAAUUCCCCCCACGCGGGGAAAUGACACACACAUCCUUAUAUAUAGCCCACACCCCUCUCCCAGAUUUUCACGAGCCCAUCACAUUAGUCAUCUUAAGAUAACUAACCCACAUCUCCAAACCACAUCGAUUUUUCGCUCUUUUUUGUUCUCUCUCUCCUCAUGGCCUCGUGUAGCAUCAGAGUGGCAACACUGGUUCUAUUUUGCGCCCUUCUAGUAUUUGCGCCCGCUCUACAAGCCAGGAAACUACUACUGGGUGAUCAUCAAGAGCAAGAUACACAGUCUACAUCUCUGGAACGAGGGUUGGCGCUAAACAUCCUCCCGAAGGGACCGUCGCCGCCGUCGUCUCCGAGCAACGGCGGCAACGAAGCGACCGCCGCGACCGCUUCAAGCGUCGGGCGGAUGCUGGGGUCCGUGCCGAGCCCCGGAGUCGGCCAUUAGCUUCUCCGACCGUCGUUUCUUCGCUACAACUAUCGAGUCUUGAGCUUGCUAUAGGAAUUUUUGCAGAAAUUAAUGGGGCUAGCCACAUGAUAUGAUUAAUUUAUUAUUUAUUUCGCUUGGUUUUCAUUUGAUUGGUUAUUUGGUUUGAUGUAUUGAGUAUAUAUAUACAUACAUGCAUGUAUGAGAAAAAAUAAUGAAGAGAAUUGUAGAUACUCUUUUUAUGUGUUAAAAGAUCACUCCCUUUUUUAGAUUUACAUGUGAUUAAUUAUUUACUUCUCUCAACUCCCAAUUCUUUGGGUGGGACCACUUCUAGGAAUUGUCUAACCUAUAUAUGUACACUUCUCAUGGACAAAUAAAGAAUAAAAAAAAGAGAAAGGAGUUUUAGUGUUGCGUGUAAAUUUUUUUUUUUUUUUUUUUUUGAGAGAGAUAGGUAGCUAGCACCGUAUCCGCUUCGUUUAUUUUAUUUAGAAAUAAACUUAGCUAGAAAUGUGAAUCAACUAGAAUUCGAACUUAGAUCUCAGGUGCCAAUCACCAAAUCCUUUGUCACUUGCUCUAGGGACGGUCAAUGUGUAGCGUGUUAAUUAUAAUAUUAUUAUUGUGAUGAUAGUAGAGUUAGCAACAACAAUGCAUGACAUGACAAUGUAAUAUAAAUAGCACGUAAUGAAACUGAAGCACUACAUAAUACGAUCAUGGUGCGACCACUAACGCAAUUAGUGAAUCCUCAACAUUGUCCAUCGACUUAGUUUUGGGGUUUAAAUAUAAUUUACUCGUUUUAAUGAGGUAGUUUUAUCAUCGAUGCCUUAGUUUCAUUAUGGUUAAUUAGAUAGGGAUCCAGCAAUUAUGUAAAAGUGACUUAAUUGGAUGGUGGUUUAGGAUGGUGAGGAGAGGCUAAGGAGAAAAUGGCGGAUCGUUGGCGCUAAUCAUUAAUCCCAAAAGUUCGAGCUGUUAGAAAAACAGCACCAAUUCAUUUAAAGCGCACAGAUACAGCGUCCACAGGUCUCGAUUGUAACUCGGCCCUAAUAGACUCAUGCCACUUCGAAUAUGACUCGACCCACUCAGACUCAUGCCAUUUCUAACAUGACUCGGCCCAGCAUGGCUUCCCACUACAUGGCAGAAUACUGACCCAUUUAAACCAACAGAAUAAGUGAUCCAAGUUCUUAUUUGGGCUUUAAUCAUACAAAAUCUAGGUGUGAUCUAGUGAUCAACCAAUACAAAAUGUUGGUGUAAUCUAUCACUGUAUUCACUAGUGUCCAACAUAGAAGGUGAGCUAACUUAUAAAUCCUUUUAUUUCCCCACCAAUAUAGGAGAAAUCAUUGAGAAGCUUUCGUUUUCUUUCCUUUAAUUUUUUGGUGCCAGUAGUGGGAAUUUAGCUGGAUUUGAUACGGAACUGCUGGGAAUGAAAUAAAAUUAAUUAGAAAAAUGCAUUUUGUACUCUCGUUUGCUUGAAAAUAAAGAGAAUGGUGCAGUUGAUUUGGUACUUAUGUAACAGGCAAAUAACAAGUAUAUAUACACUAUUUUUCCAGUUACAACUUACACGCCAAUGAGGCUAUUAGGUUAUAUAUAGUUACAAUUGCACUAUAGUUGUACUAUAUGCAGAUUCAAAUCUUAUAUUAAUUUGAUGUAUUUGCAUUCGAUUAUUGCAGUUGAAACCAUAUGAGAAUGCCCAACUGUAGCUAGCAGUUGGAACCACAUCAACUGCAGCAAUUGAAGAGACUCAUUUUAAUAUCUCUCUAAUAACUUUUACAUAAAAACUAUACGUAUAUAUACUUUUUAUGUUGAAAGUAAUCUCGCAAACACAUAUAUAAAGUGAAAACAUUUUAAAAAUUCACUUUUUCACCAACAUGCAACUAAAUAAAUUAUUAAUAGUUAUAGUAUUUUUUUACUAAAUCCAUUAAUAUAAGACGCAUAUUAUUGUAACUUCUAUAUUUUCAACUACGAUAUAUUUCUAAUUGUAUCCGACCAAACUAUCUAUAAUAAUUAUUUCAUUCCAUUCCAUUAUUCGGACAAAAAAUUUAUAUAUACAGUUUCUAAACAAGAUUGUUUGGAAAUUGUCCGGAUGGGCGCCACAUAGCGAGUGGCGUCCACCCCAACCGUCCAAUAAGAAUAUUAUUUUUGCGAGGUUAAAAUUAAAUUAGAUAAAAAGUUGCUGGGUGGUUGGAAUAGACACCAAUCGCCAUAUGAUGCCAAUUCGGACAAUUCCUGAAUAAUCUUAACCGGAGAUUAUGUUCAUAAAAUUUUUGUCCCCAUUUAUUUGCAUCUAAACAGGAGAGUGAGCAUAGCAUCACGCAAUUGAAUGAUACUCAGAUCAUUCAACCACCUUAAUUAUCAUGUGGCCUAAAAUAACUGCAUCAAAUGCCGUAAUUAGGCUAGAGCUAGACCUUGAUCUCGCCCAAGGGCUCUAUCUGGGUUUGGAGAGAGCUCAUCUCCUCAACAGUGCUGUAGAGUACACUCAAUAGCAUUUCUCAUUUGAAAACUCCCAAGUACUUUUCCAUUGCAGGAGAAGUGAACAGUGAAACCAUUUGGAGCUUCUGGGAUCGUUUUCUAUGACAAAUAUAUAUAUAUAGUAAUUAUUACUAUCUUUCAAAGUAAAUAAGCUAUAUCGACAUCAUGUCCCGACAUGCUAAGAUUGUGCUGGGACUAAGUCAUUGUCCUUUUAAAGUUCCUGUGUGUGAAUUACUUGCUUACAGCUCACACCUUCAAUCCUAGGCGCCUGCCAUGGGUCCCUUGCAUCAAGAAUAACUCCAACAUCAGUUGAGAUUGCGGAAUUAACGGAAAAUUCGCUUAGGCAAUCGUGACGUAAUUUUCGCCGCUUAAUUGCUCAGACCCGAAAAUUAAUCCAAUAUAGUCAUCCUGAUUUUCGAAAGUAAAUAAGAUUAGAAUUUAUAUAUCAAAACAUAAAUUCUUUCGAGGUUGAUACUGUAGUCUGUGACCGCUUGUUUAGCAAAUAGAAAGGGCUUCCGCGGGUCGCAAGUAACUGCAGCCCGAAGCCCAACCGCAGAAGCUCCACGAGGUACCAAUAGAUUGAAUGCAAUUUGCGUCCGAGAGUUUUGAGUCCAUAUCCAAACCCUUAUCACGCCGUCAAGCAAAAUCUACAAACAUGAAAAGGAAAAAAGAAAGCACAGGAUACGAACUAACUGAUCAACAAUCAAACUGCGAUGUCAUUAGGCUCUUCAUCUUUGGCACCCCAUGCCUAGUUUUAGAACUGGAUCAAAAAUGAAUGAAGUACGAAAUCAAGGAGAAGGUUGCAACCUAAGGGGACCCACGCAUCAGAGGGGUGUGAGAGAGAGAUGCGCGGCCCACAUCCGAAAUCAAGGAGAAGGGCGUAAAAUGGUUAAGGGUUUGCCCUUUAAUGAAAUUGUAUAGAUUUGAGUAUCGGGCUCUUGCUGGAUAUUGUGGGCCGGCAAUCGUAAGCCCUACACCGCCAUAAAAUGUCCCCAUUGAGAGUAUUGUUGGGAAGUGUACUACAACAAGGCCGUAUACCCAAUAUCUCUCCCUUUGGAGUUGCAAAAAUUUCGUUGUGUCAUAAGGAAGAACAAUGGUAGAACACUUAUUACUUAAUAUCUCUCCGUUUAUGUCGCAAUGAGCUAGUUGCAAUAUCUUUUUUGCGUCUCACUGAAAAACGGAGAAGCAUAUCUUUAUCUAUUUUCGAUCCAACCCCGUUUUACCCCCGAUUUACCAAAUAUUGUUAGAUGACCGUCAGCUACAUUUUUUCCAACUGCGUCUCACUACUGCUGCUUUCCGCAAACGUUGUUGGUUCAUGCUCCAAUUAGGCUUCGUUUGGGAUUGCAGGGAUAUUGUGUUAUAUACGGUAAAAAAGUACGUUGGAUACGUAUUGCGUUUCGUAUAUCACGAUGAGUCGGUUAUGAUAUAUUUUCUGCAGUCCCACCGGAGAACGCAGAAGCAUAUCCCGAUAUGUUUUUUUCCUCAACUCCAAUUUAUCUAAUAGUGUUAGAUAGAUCUCAAUACCAAACUAAGCCUUAGAAGAUUCGGCCCAGCAGCAAUCUGCAAAACCGUUACUGUAUGGUGCAUUAGUUAUUUAUCUUUGGAUCAUUUUAAGCUCCAACGUUAGUAGGGAAAUUGAUUCGGCCUGUAGAACAAAACCCAUGUAGGGUAUAUCUAAACUUGGGCCACAACAUUGUACGAUAAAGAGUUUACAAAAACAUUAGAGAGUGAGGUCCAUGUGAAGCCCAUGACAAUAAGUACAUUAAUAUCACAAACAAGGACGAUGUAGAUCCUCGUUACAGUAUCAGCAUCUUGACCAACUGGUUCUCUUUUCCUUUUGUACAAAUAAAUUGGUUUAUAAUAUUAUAGAUUUUAUUUUAUUUUUUUUGAGAAAAAAAUAAUAUACUAUUUACUUCGUUUAUUUUUUAAAAAAUAAAUUUAAGUAAAAAUAUGAAUCAAUUAGAAUUCAAAUUUAAAAAUCUCGAAUAUCAACCACCAAAUUCUUUAUCACUUGCGCUAAGAACAAUCAGUAUAGGAUUCCAUUAUUAUGAAAUCAAUAUAUAUAUAUAUAUAUAUAUAUAUAUAUAUAUAUAACACUUUGGGAGAGUAAGUAGGUAGUAAGAAUCUUAAUAUUAUAUAAUGCAAAGAAAGUUAGUGUGUGCAUGGUUCAAAUCUGCUGCCUCAAGAAAGCAAUCCCGACUACUCUACGCAGUUAUACAAAUUUUUAUAAAUAUAGUGAAUUAUAAAUAUAUUUCUAUAAAAUUUAAUUUUUAUAUAUUAUUUUUAUAAAAGUUCUAAUAUUUUUAAAUAUUUUUUUGAUUUAAUUAAAAUACUAUUUAUUUUAUAAAUAAAAUAUUUUUUUUAUCAUCACAAAUAUAUUCAUUCAAAAUUUUCAGCUGUUUUAAUCGAAGAGAAAUAAAAAAAUCAAUUCACCAUAUUAACUAACUAUAAUUAAUUAUUUUGUUUAUAAUUAAUUAAUUUUUUUUAACGAAUGGCCAAUUUGCAUAAAAAAUCCACUUAUUUUGGGCUUUUGCAAAACCGGGCCACCUAUUUUUAUUUUUGCAGAUUCGGUCCGCUUUUUCAGCAAACUGACCAAAAUAUCCUUAUUACUUUUUCUCUUUCCUCUUUCUCUCUCUUCUUCGUUUCUCUCGUUCUUUUUUUCUCUCGCCGGCAGAGCGGAGGCGGAACGGAGGCGGAAACGGUCCGUCUCGCCUCUCACCCUCAUGCUCUCGCCCUCGCCCUCGCCCUUGCCCUCGUCCAUACACCCCCCAUCUUCCUCGCCUCCGACCCCGCCAAGGCCGCGCCGCGACUUUUUUUUUUUGCUUUUUUCUUUUCUUUUCUUCUCCGACUCUUCUCCACCGUCUUCGACGACGACGCCUUUCGCCUUUCCCCGCCCUUCUCAUCUCUCCCUCUCCCUUAUUUUCUGCCGCCUCUGACGACGAUUUAUCUUUGCCGGCGCCGACGUCGACACCGUAGAGAUCACUGCGGCGCUACAGCCUCGGAGCGGAGGGUCCUUAACGGCGUCGUCACCGGCGCCGUAGCUGUUGGCAGAGAAGGUGACAAAAAAAAUUAUAGAAAAAACAGAAAAAAAUAAAGAUAAAAAAUUAUAUAAAAAGAAGGAUGAAGAUGAAAUUGCAUCUUUAAUUACAAAAAAAAUUAUAAGUUGCACUAUUUAAGAUGUAAACUGCUGCUUUAAGAUAAAAAUUAUACUCUUUGAACGAAAAUUAUACUAUUUUUUAUCUUAAACUGCAUCUUUUUAAGUGAUAUUUAUACUGUUUCUCUUUUUUUUGCACUGUUGCUCCUCUUGUUGCACUGUUUCUCCUCUUAUUUACACAGAAAUGGUACAACAAGAGAAGAAACAGUAUAAAUAUCUCUUAAAAGGAUGUAGUUUCUCCUCUUAUUGCAUUGUUUCUUCUCUUGUUGCACUUUUUCUCCUAUUGUUUACACAGAAAUGGUGCAACAAGAGAAGAAAUAAUGCAACAAGAGAAGAAACAGUAGAUAUAUCUCUUAAAACAGUGCAGUUUCUCCUCUUGUUGCACUAUUUCUACUCUUAUUUACACAGAAAUGGUGCAACAAGAGAAUAAACAGUGUAUAUAUCUCUUAAAACAGUGCAGUUUCUCCUCUUGUUACACUGUUUCUCCUCUUAUUGCACUAUUUCUCCUCUUGUUUACACAGAAAUGGUGCAACAAGAGGAGAAACAGUGCAACAAAAGAAGAAACAGUAUAAAUAUCUCUUAAAAGGGUACAGUUUAAGAUAAAAAAUAGUAUAACAAGAGGAGAAAUGGUGCAACAAGAGGAGAAACAGUGCAACUUUUGUUUAAAGAGUGUAACUUUAAUCUUAAUGGAUGCAGUUUACAUGUGAAAAAGUGUAAUAAGAAGAGAAACAGUGUAAAUAUCUCUCAAAGAGUGUAAUUUUCUUUUAAAGAGUAUAUUUUUCAUCUUAAGUAGUACAACUUAUAAUUUUUUUUGCAGUUAACAAUGCAAUUUCAUAUUCAUCCUUUUUUUUUGUAAUUUUUUAUCUUUAUUUUUUUUCCUGUUUUUUCUAUAAUUUUUUUUUGUUACCCUCUCUGCCAACAGCCACGGUGCCGACGACGACGCCGCUAAGGACCCCCGCUCCGAACCUGUAGCGCCGCAGUGACCUCCACGGUGUCGACGUCGGCGCCGGCGAAGAUGCAUCGUCGUCUGAGGCGGCAGAGAAUGAGGGAGAAGGAGAGAUGAGAAGGGCAGGGAAAGACGAAAGAAGCGUCGUCGUCGGAGACGGUGGAGAAGAGUCGGAGAAAAAAGAAAAAAAAAAUCAAAAAAAAAAAGUCGCGGCGCGGCCGUCGCGGGGUUGGAGGCGAGGAAGGUGGAGGGGUGCGUGAACGAGUGCAAGGGCGAGGGCGAGAGAAUGAGGGUGAGAGGCGAGAUGGACCGUUUCGGCGGCAAGAAAAAAAAAAAAAGAGAAACGAAGAGGAGAGAGAGAGAGAAAAGAGAAAAAGUAAAAAGAAUAUUUUGGUCAGUUUGCUGAAAAAGCGAACCGAAUUUACAAAAAUAAAAAAGAUGGCCCGAUUUUAUAAAAGCCCAAAAUAAGUGAAUUUUUUAUGCAAAUUGGCCAAAAAUUUUAACGACAUAAAUAUAUAUUUAAAAAUAUCAAAAUUUUUAUAAAAAAAAUAUAUAAAAAUUAAAUUUUAUAGAAAUAUAUUUAUAAUUUAUUAUGUUUACUACAAGAUUUGGUUUACUCUGAAGAAAAGCAAGCCACCCUCCCCACAUGCUAUGCUUACAGAAAAUCUAGCCAUUUGGGAUGUCGACCAAUAUUGAAACAACUCUCCUCACACAUGACCACCUUCAAAGCACUUUACCACCUCUGAUGAAAUAUCUAAUGUAACCCUGUAACCCCCCCUCCUCACUAUUCUUCUCAGAUCCCCAAAUUUACUUUAUAAAGAAACCAGCUUUAUACCAUCACGUCCCUUAAUUAAUGCUUCUGUAUAUACAAACAAAAUACGACCAAAAUAGAGACUCUAUAGCAAAAAGGAGGCGUCUAUAAUAAUAUAGUAAUAAUAUUAUUAUGCUACUGAAGAUGAUGUUAUAUAUAAAUACAGCGUUUAAAGACUAAGAGAGCAACCGGGGCCCACCGAGAGAAAAACCCACCUGAUCGCAUCGUGACCUUACAACGCGCCAGGGGUCGCGAUCGGGCCCCACCACCCACGAUAAGGCGCAGCCAAUCACGACCGUCCAUCUCCCGAAGCGAGAUACACCUUACACUGUAUCAGCGUCCUCCCCACUCUGAACCCCGGCACCACCGUAAACCCUACGAUCGGCGACGUCCCUCCGCCGCCGCCGCCGCCGCCGCCGCCGCCGUUCUCCGCCACGCUCUCCAUGUACACCUCCGAGAACCUCUCCCCUCUCCGCGCUUGGAAUAUGAUGCGAUCCCUCUCCGUCACCUUCCCCUCCUCGCCCUCGCCCUCGCCCUCGCCCUCGCCCUCGCCCUCGAAGGCGAAGAAGAGGCAUUGGAGGAGCCACACGCGCCGCGCCGCUUCCGCGAACGCGGCGAACCACGGCGUGUCGGGGAACCCCCGCCCCGAGCUUACGAGCGCUCUCUGAUCGAGAUCCCCGAAGAAGGACGACUCCAUCUUGGGGUGGACUAGGGUGAGGUACUUCGCCCUGUAGAACCUCCCCAGUGGCGAUCGCGGGGCCCCCGCGUCGAGGAAGUGCUUCGCCCUCGCGGAUUUGAGCUCCGUGAACUCGUCGAAGAAUCGGCGCCGGCUCCAAUCGGUCCCGACCUCGUCUAAGGAGGCGACGUUGAAACCCUUGCGGUGGAAAUCGGAGAACAGCUUCCGCGAGACGUAGGACUCGAACGCGAACCUCCGAUGCGCCGGGUGCGGAGCGAUCGCGCCGCGGCCGGCGCCCGCCGCGGCGGCGGCGGCUGCGGCUGCGGCGAGGUCCCACCCCGCGGACUCCAUCUCGCGCGCCAUGGAUUUGGCGAAGGAGCGCACGGAUUUGACGGCGCAGCGGAGCGCGGUGAGGAAGUGGGUGGGGUUGAGGCCGGAGAGGUGGAGGUCGUCGAGCGCCGCGAGGGAGCGCCCGGGGCGGAGCCGCGCCUCGAGGGCGCGGACGCGCUGCUCGGCGCCGCGGAGGUCGUCGCGCGCGGAGAGGACCUCGGCAUCGCGGAGCGCGAUCUCGGACUCGAGCUUGCGCGCGGUGAUCUGGUAGGUCCUGAGCACGUGGCGCUGCUCCUCGACCUGCGCCGGGAGGGCGAGCGGCGGCGCGGGGAGCUGCUUCUUGAAGAAGCACUGCUUCAGCUCGGAGAGCCGCUUCAGCUCCGCGACCACGGCGCGGUCCGCGGACUCGAUCGCGUCGGGGUCGUACGGCGACUGCGCGAGCUGGAGCUCGGCGUACGCUGCUUUCACCGCGGAGACGCUCGCGAAGACGCUGGCGAGAAGCGCUUCCGCGGCUUCUUCUUGCUCCGAGAACGACGCCUUCUGCUGCUGCUGCUUCUGCUUCUGCUUCUGCUUCUGCUUGUGCUGAGGAAACUGCAGCUUCUCGGGCUCGGGCAUGAAGAACCUCUCCAUCGGGGCUUCGGAGAGCUUCGCGGAGAGCUUCAGCUUCUCGAUGGCGUCAUCGUCGUCGUCAGGGGCGACUCCGCCGCCGCCGCCGCCUCCGCCCGCCGGAGCGGCGCCGGCGCGGCGGAGGCGGAGGAUCUUCGUAUAAGCCCUCGCCAGGGUGCCCAAAUUGGGAGGAUGUGCGUGUCUCGCGGACUCCAUUCACUCUUCAAAAUCGUUUAAUUCCUGCACGGAAAAUACGAAAGAAACGAAACGGGAGACAGGGAUGCAUAAAUAGCAUGGAUUUAAAAUAUUUUUAGAGUUGCAUUCGCAAAUAAAACGUAAAAUAUCUAAAGGGAACAAAAAUGUGAACCAGGAUGUACAGCGUUCAAUUAAGAAACAUUACUAGUACUAAUAAUGAGGAAUAUCUUUAUCAGAAAGGUGAUUAAUUGUGGACUUAAAACAUUAAUUUAUACUAUCGAGUACCAAAUACUUUAUGUAAUCAAAAUUUUCGUUAUUAGAUUUAUUCUUUUGAUCAAUUUUACUCGUUAAAUCAUACUAUUCAACGAACUACUCACUCAAUUCUAAAAAAUUACUAUUAUCCUAACUAUAUAUAUUUUUUUAUUUAAAAAUAAAAAAUCUAAUAACAUCAAUAAUUUUUUACUGUCAAUAAUAUAAUAGUCUAAUUCUUAUUAAUACUUAUUUGUUUUGGGACAUUGGAUUCUCGUGAGUAGCAACAUAGAAACAUGCUCGGGUUGUCAGGGUCAUUGGAUUUGGAUCAAAUUAAAAGUUCAAACAAGUACUUGAUCUGAGUUGGGUGGAGACCCAGGAGAUAGAGGCUGUCCAUCAACAACAGGGACCAAACAAAUGUUUGGGGAAGUUUCUAGACUCUACAUACAUAUAUAACCACUGAAAGGAAGGGGAUCAGUUAAUUAAUUGUUAAUAAGUAGCAUUAGUUAAAAGCAUGACCCUAAAAUUCAGUAAUGGGUAUUAGCAUCUAACUUGCAUGAUGGAGAUUAGAUGCAAAGUUUAGCAAGAAUAAUAGCUAAAGCAAUACUAGGACCAAGCAGAAAUAAAGCAUACAAAAAAAAAAAAGCAACAAUGACUAAAAUGCAUGUCAAAAAGUCUCUACGCUAAAGCCCAAACAAGAUGAGGAAAAAAAGUUAAUUUCUAAACACAUUUUAGCUAAUUAAAACAGAUUCAUUUUAGAUUGAGAGGAAGAGAGAAAAGAAAAGGAGGGAAAAAAAAACUACUUUUAUUUUUUAUUCUUUUAGCUCUUCGCAUAAAAGAACUUCCAAAGUUUAGGGUAUGGUACCAUAUACUUAUUAAUUACCGUGUACUUUUUUUUAAUAGGGAAAACUUUAAAAAAACUCUUUGUGAUUUCGUAGUUUUUUACUUUGCCCUCCUAUGGUUUAAAAUAUAUCAAUUUGCCCCCAUGUGAUUUUUUGUUUCUCUUUUUCUUAUCAAUUUCAUUAUUUUUUUUUUUUUAAAUCAGUGAUAAAGUUAAAAUUAAAGAGUACUAAAAUAAUAUUUGAUAAAUUUAGAUGAGUAUUUAAAGUUUUUUAUAUAUAAUUUAAUGAAAUAUUAACGAAAAAACUACCGAAAAGAUAAAAACGAAACUACAGGAGAGCAAUUUAAUAUAUUUUAAACCAUAGAAGGCAAAGUGAGAAACUACGAAACCACAGGGGGGUUUUUAAAGUUUUCCCUUUUUAAUACUUGGGCUACCCAAUGUACCACAAGAAAUAAAGAACCGAACUGAACGGUGAGCUCUAGAAUCUAAUAAAACCUCUACCUACGAAAAGUGAAUCCUCUAAAUUGCGAGCAAAUGGUACUCGAAUUAUAGAAGCUGCAAAAGUUCUCCCUUGCGAAGGGCCAUUGUUCAUCCAAACAUUCUCUCUCUUAUCCCUGUUUUCUUUUCUUCUUUCUUUUACUACUUUAUCCUUUCUAUACAACUUUUGAGAGGUCAAAUUCGUACGUUUUUAUUACGUAUAAUGUGCACAUUUCACACUAGCUAGUUAAAAGUUAAAACUCAAUUGCGUAGCAGCGUUAUUCAUAUGGCGUAUACACUAACUUCGCUUUAUUUGGACAUGACGGAAAGGGAUAGAGUUUGAUAAAGGUAAUGGCUAUGGUUCUCCUUUUGUUUAUUUAUUAUGUUGAUUCCUAUAUCAAGCCCAUUGAAUAAUAGGUUCUGCAUAAUUUUAGAUUAUUGUAAUCGUGCCUACAUGCAAGAAUGGGACCUACCUAUAAACAUAUUUUUAACCUAUGCUCAAAUUAGAUGCAUUUGAAAAUACAACAACAGUACAGAGUAAUUUGGAAUUUGCUCCCUCACCCAGUUUUUUACAUUUUUUUGUUAAAAAAACUUUUAUCUUCUAAGAACAAUCUCACCCUCACAUAUUAAAUAAUAAAAUAAUUAAAUUUGUGAAUUCCACUUCCAGCGAUAUGCAAUUAAUAAAAUUUUCCCAAUUGCAGCAGCACUUUCGACAAUAAUAUAUCACCAAACGAGCUAAAUGCAAAUAUAACUACUGAAACACCAACUAAAAUACACUCUUAUUUACUCUGAGACUAGAUUUUUGUACUCUCAAGAGAAAAAUUAAAAUCCAUUAAAAUCUUAAAACCAAACGGUUCUCUUUUGUGUUCAAACACUCUCCCUAAUUCGUAAUAAAUUUAAAUACAAAAUAAUAAAUAAAUUAAUUUGGAACCAUAGUUACUACUUACCACGCAAUUCUAUAACCGCUCCCUAAAAAGUGAGGGCCAAUGUACACUUACUAGACGGAUGUAAAAUUUACAUUCUAGCAUUUAAAAGACUAGAAAAUUUACUCACCUCUCAUAUUAACUUCUUUUUUUUUUUCUACUACUAAAGUUAAGAAUUAAUAUUCAUAAUUUUAAAUUUAAAAUCUACUUAUAUUAUAUUUUUUUUGGCUAAAUUUAUUUUUAAAAUUAAAAAAAAAAAGAAUAUAAUGAGUUAGUGUAAAGGUGUAGUAGGCGUAGUAUUUUCUUUUUCAUAUGUAUUUUGCCAGAUAGGGCUCCCUCAAACACUUUCCCAGCAUUUUUCCCUCCCAAUCCUAUGACUCUCCCCAUUUCAUUGUCGAACAUGUCAUUCUCAGCCCGUACGCUCAGAAUCACGUGCCACAACAGCACUCUCAGGUUCUGAGCAAAGAGGAAUUCUGCACUGUCACACUUGCACCACGUCAUCAAUAACAAGCCAAUCACAUUCCUUCUUUUUCAAACAAAAGUAUAAUAAAAAUACUUUUUUACAAUCAUGAUGGAACAUAUAUUCUUCAAAGGAUUAAUUUGAUUGGUUUGUUACGCCACGUCACUAAUAUACCCGUUGCAUUCUAGAAUUUUCCUGAGGGGACCCAAGCGGUUGCAAAAAUAAAACAGUACACAAUUACACGCGAUCAGUCGAGAUAAAAUCUACAGUAUCGUACCUAUAUCAUCAGUAAUAAAUUAAUUAUAUUUUUUACCGACCGUCCCUAGAACAAGUGGUAAAGAACUUGGUGAUUAGUAUCCGAAACUCAAAUUCAAAUUUUAAUUGAUUCACAUUUUUCAGCUAAAUUUAUUUAAAUAAACGAAACGGAUAGUGUGCUAUCUAUCUCUCAAAAAAAAAAAAAUUUUUUAAAAAAACAUAUAACAAAAUUAUUUUUUAAUCAUAAUAGGAUAGAUGAAUUUAAAAUAAAUAGAAAUAUAACUGAUAUAUUAUAAAUUUUUUCCUACGCACAUACAUACGAGAAUAAAAUUAGAAAAAUAUUACUUGUACCUCAAAAACAAGUGUAUAAUUUACAAGCAACGUUUCCUUUGCAAUACUAAAAUUCACCCUAAAUUCAAUAAUAUUUUAUAAAUUUUAAAAUUUGAAAGAGUAAAAUAUACACCUUUAUAUUGUGGCGUGUACGGAACAUUUUUCAUAAUUCACAAAAAAAUUAAUAUAAAUAAUAUAAAAUUUAUGCUUACUUCUUAACUAUAUAUACAAGCAGCAUAGCUCAUAAAAUUAUACUUUAUACUACAUUUGAAAGACAGUAUAUUUAUUUGAGACCAAAAUUUUAGUACCGCAAUAUAGGAUCGUACCGAAAACUUAUCGAUACGGUACUAAAAGUGCAUAUCGGAUCGUACCGAAAACUUAUAUAUAUAUUAAUGCUAUAUAGUAUAUAUAUAUAUAUAUAUAUGCACAUAAUAAUAUAAAAUAUUUUUUUUAGCAACAAAAUAUUCUAAUUAUUUAUUAUGCAUUUUUAUCAAAUUUUUUAAAUUUUUUUGAAAAAAAAAUCUUACUAAUUUAAAAAAAUAGAAAAUUUUAAGCUUUGUCAUUGGCACAAAACUGUAUCGUGCCGAUAGUUUUGUUGCAUGAUACAGUACGAUAAAUACAGUUCGUAUCGAUGGACACUUAAAUUUUUGUCCUAGACUAUAUUGUCACUCCCUACAGGAAGGUUUUAUCUGGAUGUCCGUAUGAAUUAUGUAACUGUAAUUUAAUAGAAUAGUUUAGUUUAUUUAUAAAAUUAAUUUAUAAUUUAACUAUAAUAAUAUAUUUUAGACAUUAACUAACACAUUUUAAUUAUAAAUAUUAUAAUAAAAAAACUUUUAAUAUCAAACAACAUAUCGCUGAGUAUUUAUGCAUCACCAGAUACAAAUAUGGUCGACUACAAGAUGAUCCCCAAAAUUCAACGGCUGAGAUCAACGACCGCUCAGAUGAAUUAGUAAUCUGGUACGGCGAGUCAAAGAGAGAGCGAUCCUAAUUCCUAAACAGGAAGUAAUAAUUAGGUAGAUUUCUCCUAACUACUUUAUUAAUUACCCAAUCAUUCCGAUUUGAAACAAUAAUCCCUCGUUUUCGAUUCGUAAAUUACGCAAAAUGAACUCCGAAUUUGGGCAACAAGAGAGAGAGAGAGAGAGAGAGAGAGAGAGAGAGAGAGAGAGAGAGAGAGAAUGGGAACUCACCCGGGAUUUAGAACUGGGGCUCGUUCGAAGCUCAAUCGCUCUCACGGAGCUCUCCGCUUCCGAUCCGAAGCAUAGAUUUUGAAACAAGCGCUCCCCAAAUUGGAAUUAGAAGCAUGAGAUUUGUGAAUCCAAGCGAGAUCGAAAAUGGAAGGAGAGAGAGAGAGAGAGAGAGAGAGAGGGGAGGCGCGGGAAGAGGAAGCGACGGGGAAGGAGCGCGGAUGUAGAGGGGAAUACGACGACAUUGGUAAUUAAAAAACCCUAGAAUUUGGCUCUACCUUGUACGUUACUCGUUUUUCCUAAAAUGCCCUCGCGUUCUACAAGCUAGGGUGCUAUGAGCCAAUCGUACUGCGGGGGCGCCAUCGUAAAUACAGCACGUAUGCGUUAACAUAGAGGUAACGUUCGGGUCAGUAGAUACAGAGCUCUUUGUUUUCUUCCCCCUUUUUUUUUUUUUUUUUUUACAAUUGUGUUGUCAUUAUUACUGUUUAACUCGUGGGAAAGGAGAACUGUAAAAAACUUUAGAUGAAAAUGUAUAAAUUUUUUUUUCUGAACUAUUUCUUACUUUAAUGCAAUAUUUUUUUUCAAAAAACGUUAAUAAUUAUCUGAUUAGUAUUUUGAUCAUUUUUUGUCAAUAGAUUUUAAUUUAAUCAAGCCAAUUAAAUUAGAGUAGUUCAGAUGAUUCACACUGUUACUUUUUUAUUAAAACAAGGAAACGAAAGCUAUUAAAUAAUUCAAAUCAAAAAAUAAAAAACAAAAAUAUCAAAACCUAAGUUUUUUAGAAAUUAGAAAAUCAAAUCAAAAUAUAUUAUAAUACAGAAAAAUUCCAAAAACUUCUACCAAAUUGAGAUGGAGAAAACAAUUAGGGACUGUAUAGUUCCUCAAAAAACAUAUAUAAAAAAAUAUUAGAAAAGAGUUUCCAUAAAAAACUCUUUUUCUAAAUUUUUGCACAUUGGUUUUUCAAAAAAAAAAAAACUUUUUUUAAAAAAAAUCACAUUUUACGAAAAACUGGUAAUUUUAUUUUUUUAAAAAAAAAAUAAAAAACUAAAAUAUUCAACUUUUAUAAAACAUGAUUUUUUAAAAUAUAUUAAGUUUUUAAAAUUACACGUAUGAAAACCUAAAAAAUAAUUUCGAUACAAAUGUGUUUUUCUCGAUUUUUUUUUUCAAGUUAAUNNNNNNNNNNNNNNNNNNNNNNNNNNNNNNNNNNNNNNNNNNNNNNNNNNNNNNNNNNNNNNNNNNNNNNNNNNNNNNNNNNNNNNNNNNNNNNNNNNNNNNNNNNNNNNNNNNNNNNNNNNNNNNNNNNNNNNNNNNNNNNNNNNNNNNNNNNNNNNNNNNNNNNNNNNNNNNNNNNNNNNNNNNNNNNNNNNNNNNNNNNNNNNNNNNNNNNNNNNNNNNNNNNNNNNNNNNNNNNNNNNNNNNNNNNNNNNNNNNNNNNNNNNNNNNNNNNNNNNNNNNNNNNNNNNNNNNNNNNNNNNNNNNNNNNNNNNNNNNNNNNNNNNNNNNNNNNNNNNNNNNNNNNNNNNNNNNNNNNNNNNNNNNNNNNNNNNNNNNNNNNNNNNNNNNNNNNNNNNNNNNNNNNNNNNNNNNNNNNNNNNNNNNNNNNNNNNNNNNNNNNNNNNNNNNNNNNNNNNNNNNNNNNNNNNNNNNNNNNNNNNNNNNNNNNNNNNNNNNNNNNNNNNNNNNNNNNNNNNNNNNNNNNNNNNNNNNNNNNNNNNNNNNNNNNNNNNNNNNNNNNNNNNNNNNNNNNNNNNNNNNNNNNNNNNNNNNNNNNNNNNNNNNNNNNNNNNNNNNNNNNNNNNNNNNNNNNNNNNNNNNNNNNNNNNNNNNNNNNNNNNNNNNNNNNNNNNNNNNNNNNNNNNNNNNNNNNNNNNNNNNNNNNNNNNNNNNNNNNNNNNNNNNNNNNNNNNNNNNNNNNNNNNNNNNNNNNNNNNNNNNNNNNNNNNNNNNNNNNNNNNNNNNNNNNNNNNNNNNNNNNNNNNNNNNNNNNNNNNNNNNNNNNNNNNNNNNNNNNNNNNNNNNNNNNNNNNNNNAUAUAUAUAUCGGAUAACAAAAAUAUCUUUAUAAAGUUCAACUUUCCAUAUUCAUCUCAGCAAAAGUCCAGUAAUAUUCAUAUUUUUUCCUCUGAUUAAUAAUCGAUAAGGUACUAUUUAUUUUUUAACAGGAGAUAUGUAAAACGAUAUUUUUAUCAUCAUAAAUUUUUUUCUCCAAAAGCCCCAUAGAAUUAUAUAGAAAUAUCCUUCAAAAAAUUUUCAACAAUUAUUUUUUUCUUUCUACCAUCACAAAUAAUAUGAAAUAGAUAAAAAAAAUAAUUUUUCUCAUUUACUAACAUGGAUUACUUAUUUUAUCUAUAGUUAACUAUAUUUUUCUAAUAGAUCCUAACAGCAAUGAUAUAUUUGAAAAUAUUAAAAUUUUAUAAAAAGUGAGGAAAAACUUCAAACACCAUCCUUGUGAUUUCGUACUUUCUUAUUUUAAUACCCUGUGGUUUAAAGUGUAUCAAUUUAAUACACUAUGAUUUUAUUUUUCUCUUUUUAUUAUCUCUUUCACUAACUUUUUUUUUGUUAAAUCAAUGACAAAGUUAAAACUAAAAAAUACUAAAGUGAAUAUUCGAUAAACGUAAGUGGGUAUCUGAAUUUUUUUGUAUAUAAUUUAACGAAAUGUUAACUGAGGAGUUGACGAAAAGAAAAAAAUGAAACCACAUGGUGCUAAAUUGACACACUUUAAACUAUAGAGUACUAAAGCGAGAAAGUACGAAACAAUAGAAAUAAUAUUUAAAGUUUACUCUAAAAUGAUAUUUAAAGAUUGCCCUAAACAUAAAUAUUAAAAAUUAAAUUUAUAAAAUUUAUAUAUAUAUUUAUAGGGAACUAUAAUGCAAUUAACACAUUUUCCCCAACAAGCGUACAAGUGCAAAACGAUCGAAAGUUGUGACUGUAAGGCUCUGUUUAGUUCGGAAAUUAGUAAGAACUAGUUAUACCGAAAAUAGAUACCAGGAUGGAUUUUUGUAAGAACAAAUGUAUUUUUUUUGGAUAAAAAUGUGAGUAUAAGCUGGAACUAGAAAAAUUAUGUUUGAAUGAAAAUGUGAGUAUAAGGUGGAAUAGUUGAUAGUUAUAAAUAAAAAAUAAUGAUAUUAUCCCUAUAAUUGAAUUUAAAUUUUUAAACUUAUAAAUUUAAAUUGAAAAUUUUAACUUUUAAAUUUUAAAAUUUGAAAUUAAAAUUUAAAAUUUUAAUUUUCAAAAUUUUAAUUUUAAAUAUUAAAUUUUAAAUUUAAGAUCAAAUUUAAAUUUGAAAAAUAUAAAAUAUCAAAUUUAAAAUUUAAAAACUAAAAAUAUUAAAUUUAAAAUUUAAAAAUUAAAAAUAUCAAAUUUAAAAUUUAAACUUUAAACUUUAAAAUUAUAAAUUUAAAUUUUAGAAAUUUAAAUUUUUUAAAAAAUAUUUCUCUCUCUCGUGGGGGGUUGGGAACAAGUUUUUCCCACUAACCCUCCCCUUCUUGUUUGGGUACAAGAGGGGGUAUAACUUCCUUAACCCCCUUGUACCCAAUCCAAACGCAACGUAAGGGUAGGAGUGUAAAUUCACGCCCCGCUCCCAAGGUCCAGCUGGGGUCUGAUGGGAGGUGCGCUCGGCCGCGGUUUGGGCCGACAACGGACGGCAGGGAUUUUGAGGCGCGACGCGGUCUUUCACGCAAAAGGACAUGCUCUCUCUCUCUCUCUCUCUCUCUCUCUCCACUUUUACCGAGAAAUUAUUGUGCGUACACCCAACUCAUCCUUAUACUUCAAGGAAAAAAAUUGUAGAACGCACUAAAUAUAUUUCUCAUUUUAAUUAAUAAAAAUAUUUUUAUUAUAAUUUAAAAAAUAUAUAAUUAAUUUAUUAUUAAUGCAAAUUAAUAAUACUUUAGUAAAAAAAAUUAAUAAGACUUUAGUAAAUUUUUUUUUUGAUGUAUGUAAGAUUUAUAUCUACUUUUUAAGUGCUCUUUUGAUUUGAAAGUAAUAAAUUUUACCUCACUAUUCUUAAAUAGUCAAUAAUAAAAAUGAAAAUAUAUUUAUUUUAUAAUACUGCUAUUUUUAAAAAUUAUUAAAAUGAUAAGUUAUUAAUUUUAUAAAAUAGUAAAGAAUAGUAAAAAGGAAAGUUAAAUUUGAUAUAAAAUAUAAUUUAUAUAAAUAAUUUAAUAUAAUAUUCAUUAAAAAAUAUUAAACACCCCCUUUACUCUACUGGAGGGCGAUCCGUAGUUUAUAUUCACGUUAUUAAUUAUCGUGAAUCGUGAAAUGAUGGGAAGGACCUGUGUUUUCCAGGAGAGCAUUUAUUCUCCUUUUUACCAAUUGUAAAGACUUUUUACCCGCCUAAUCAGCUGUAAAAGUUAUUAUUCCUCCAUGCAUUGAAUUGUUUGAUAUGCAAUGACACGGUGAAAAACUUUAGAAUAAAGCACUUACAUUGUUGAUAUAGUGUCUCGAAUCAAUCAAAAAAUUAUCAUAAGAUUUACCUAUUUCAUCAUUUUUUUAAAAAAAAUAUAUGAUUGACUGAAAAUAAAUGAUCUGAUGUAAAUAUUUGUAAAUAUUAUAAUGGAACCCUUCAUAAUAUCUUCUAAAAUAAUGAAAACUAAAUCUCACAAAAGAAGAAAAGAAAAAAAAAAGUAUACUAAAGAAUACACCUAUUCUAGAAUAAGCGUAAAUCUUAAAUCUCAGUACUUGAAUGAUUAUAUUUCACUUUUCUAUCGUAUCAAAAAAAAAAAAAAAAAUUUCUAAUGCACUGAAGUCCGAAGUAUUUUUCAGAGGAAAAAAAUUGAAGCCUGAUCUGACUACAACCUCUUAUCUAUAAAUGUAAAAAAUUUACUAACAUAUUUCAAAAUUUUACUACAAAAAGGAGUGAUAAUACUUAUGAAAAAAAAUAUCUUUAAAUAAGAUUCUUGUAGAAUUACAAAUAGUAAAUUUAGUAAUGCUCUGAUUAUAUUAUAGCUUAUAUGAUAUAUGAUAAUAAAGAAUCUUGCCGAGACAAUGAACUAAUUUCAUAUUAAAAUGAUGUUUUAAAUUAUUAUUAUUUUUUUUUUAACUUGUGCUCAAUAUGGGAAUUUAAUUGACUACCCUCACCAACGAAUGAAGAAACUGAAACAGAUUGUGAUACACAUUUCAAUUCUCUAGGCUCUUGAAUCCAUUUACUUAAAAUAGUGUGAUAAAAAAUUUAUUCAUUUCGUAAAUAAUAAUAACAUGUGCAAAUCACAUAAGUAUCCAGAUAUCUGUUCUGUGAUUUCAUAAAAAACACAAAAAUUAUAUUUCCAUAUACUCUUUUUUCUAAUAUAUAUACAUUUUUAAUCUACAUCGAAGGUGUACAUAUAUGUUUUUGUUCUAAUAAAGUUAGACCAAUAUAAACAUGCCCUAGAUGGAAGCAGCAAAUUCUCCAUGAUUUCUCCUUCAGCUAAGGGGCCAUUUAUUUUGAUGUACGUGGAGGAGUGAAACUCAAAUUUCAUUACUCAUGAUAUUUAUUUUAAUAUAAGUAAAAAAUAUAAUGUAACUCAAGUUACGUUAAACCUCCACUUUAUCUACUAUCGACUUCCUCCUCUAAAAUACCGAACUCGACUUUCUCUACACUCAACUUUUUCUAAAAAAUUUAUUAAAUAGUAAAAUCUAAACUCUACUUUCUUUAUAAUGAACUAAAAUUACCUUAUUUAUCAUAAAUUAAAAUUAUUUUUAAAUAAUAAUAAAAAAUUUAAUUACUUAAUAGAUUAAAUUUUAUAGAGAUAUAUUUACUACUAUAUUUAGGAGAUAACGGAAACCACUUACUUACAUCAAAACAAAUAAUGAAACUAAAAAUAUUAAUUUUAUCAAUAUCAAGUUACAUCAAAACAAACUAAUUAAAUUUAACUUUCAGGCUGUACAAAUUAAAUUAAAAUAAGUAAUAAAAAAAUAAUUAUAUUUUAGAAAAAUUUAAAUACUACUACAGUUGAAUUAAGUUGGAUUUAUAAAUUCUAUCCAAAACCCCCUAAAUGGAAUGGGCAUAGUGUCAAAUCAAAAGAUGUACCGAAUCCAGGGCCAAUUGAUAAGCAACGGCUAUCAUGCGUUAUUAUCUUUUUUCGAGAUCCCCGGGCCCCACGUCUGACCUGGGGCCCACAACAAGAGUACUCUGUUGGGAAAAAUUGGACGAUCGUAACCGUCCAUUUGCAUUAGGUCAAACGGGCGGUGAUUAAGCGGCCCAGUGUUUUGACGGUAUAAAACACUGUCGCCCAAGGGUACCAAAUUUUAACGCCUUGUUUUAAUUUUGGUAACUUUGAGCCAAAGCGAACAUGACUAGUGAGUUUGUGAGUUGCGAUUGUGACCAGUGCCUUUACCUCUAAUGGAUGCGACAAAGUCUAAUAAACAAAUUACUGUUAUGAGGCAAGGGAUUAAUAGGAGAGUUCUAAAUUGUAGUUGCAAAAUGUCGCUAAUAACCAAAUAAGACGAAAUGAUACCAUAAACCACGACAAAAAAUUAUGUUAUGAAUCGAAAUCAAACCUGAAAAUGGGUUAAACCAGAGAUAAACUGCGAGUUAAACCAGGUUGUGCUUCAUCAGGCUUUGUGCUCAAGCAAAAUUUGUGGCAGACACGGUCACCGAACAAACAUCUCUUUAUAAGCCAAUUAGGGUAGCAAGAUUUACCUCAAACAACCUGGCCUAUUUGCGACAUAUCCUAUACUAAUCUUGCGAUGGAAAUUGAAUGUUGAUAAGUUGAACAAAGAGAGGCGAUAGGCCUGGUUAGCAUGAUCUGAAAUGUUAGGGCAUGGGCUAUAGUGCCACUUGCAUAUGUGGGUCUAGUUAGUUUUGGAGUGGGCUCGGCUCAGAUUAGGUGUUUCAACAAGAGCCCGGCCCCAUCUAGCCCAUCACAAUUUCAUACGCAUGGUUGGAGAAUGGAAACUAAAUGGACUAGUCACACCAAAUGAACGAAAAUUUGAAGUAGACCUCAAAAGUACAAACACCAUUAUGCAAAAAUUAAAUGAAAAAGAACAGUUGAAGAUCAAAUUUGUACUUUAAUUGCCGUCAUCGUACUCACAAACAUUGCAACUCUUCCAUUGUUCCAUAAAGCCUUACCUAUACAGAUCACAGAGGAAAAACAAAUAUGUGAGGAGUGCCAAUAUGCCACAAAGAGGAGAAACUUUUGUUGUGUAUGGAAACCUUCGAUGGCAAAUUUAGGAAGAGCCAUACACACCUUUUGGAUAUAUGCUGUUAUAGAAAAGAGUCACAAAGAUUACCCUUCCCAAGGGUAAUAGUGAAUCAUAAUCUCCCCUAAAUCUUACUAAAUCUCCAUACAAUAAUCUCAUAACAUUUCUCACAUGGAUUCCAAAUGCAGCACCCGUUCUUUCUCAUUAGAAUACAGUUUUCAUCUAAACCCGAGAACUUUAGAAGGUCUAGUCCCUAUUAACUUCAGGGCUCCAAAUAGCCAAUUUAAGUUCUAGCAAGAACUAGAAGUUAAAUUUCCACCUAUGCUGUUUUGAUUACUCCAAUGAGCUCAUUAGGUAAUCACCUCUCACACUAUUGCAUCAAAUAAAAUUUCAUCGUGUUCAACCGCCUCGAUCAUAAUCUGUGCCCGUUUGGCCUGGCCUAGCAGAUAGUAAGCAGAUGCUUUGAAGUACCAAACAAUUGGUUAACAAAGUCUGGUAUUUCAACUGCGUUGAAAAGCUAAGAUGAGCUAUCGAGCCUCUAUUGCCGCAAAGAGAAGCUGUAGAGAAGGUUUUAAUCGAAAAGCCAGCUAGCAAUGAUUCUUUAUAUAACUCUGCUUAAACAACAUUUCUACAUAAGCUCCAAAGAGGCGAAAUAGAAAGCAUUCAAUCCGAGCUUAGAGAAUCCACUAGCUCUACUAGUUUGAACUGUUGAAAAUCCUUCAAAACACCACAAAUUGCCUUCUCCCACCCACUCAAAUCCAAAGCGUUCACCUUACUCAAUCGCCACAAACUCGACUCGACCAAGACCCAAUCGCAUUUCUCUACAACUCCCUCCACGAAUGUCUUCACAUUCUCUGCUCUCGGAGCAUACCCUCUGAAUACCAUCUCAUCCAAAACCCGCCCAGCCUCCAUAAACUCCUCAGCACCACACAUACCCUCAAAUAAGAUCCGGUAGGUCACCACAUCAGGCCGGCAUUCUCUCCGCGGCAUAUCUUCGAACAACUCUCUUGCUUCCCUCCACCGCCCCUGCUUACAAAAUCCGGUAAUGAUCGUAUUGUAGCUCACCACGUCCGCCCUACACUUCUUCCUCUCCAUCUCAUUGAGCACCUCAAAUGCAGCUUCAAAGUCCUUUUCAUCUUCACAAAACCCUGCUAGCAUAGCAUUGUAUGUUACUGUAUCCGGCUCUAUUCCUUUCCCCUUCAUCUCUUCCAAUAUCCCAACCACCUCCCCUUUCCGGCCCGCUCGAAAUAACGCCCGUAUCAAAGUAGAAUACACCGCGGAAUCUAACGUUAACUCUUUGUCCAACAACAUCUCUUCUUUUAGCUUAAGAGCCAAACCCAUCUGAGUGUUCUUACAAAGCGCUUUGAUGAGAGUAGUAUAUACAUAAACAUUAGGCUUCAUAUUAUAAGAUUCAAGCAUUAAUUCCUUAAGCCUAAAAGCAUCAUGUAGCAUCGAAUUAUCGCAAAGUGCAGUGAUCAGAGUCCCAAAGGUUACGACACUCGGUUUAAUACCUCUCUCGCGCAUUUCGUCGAACAGGUCUCGUGCGUUACCUAUCGACCCCGACGCGGCCGCGGCCCGGAUGAGGAUGUUGUACGUGCACGCGUCCGGAGCAAACUCGCCCGUGUUGAAUUCGACAAGAAGGGAUCGCACCGCACCGAGGUCGCCGCAUUGGAGGAGCGCGUGGAGGAGCGAGUUGAGGGAGCGCACCGUUCUGCGGCAGCGGAAGGAGGGGAUCCGGUCGAAGGCGCGGCGCGCGCGCGUCGCCAUGCGGGCGCGGCCGUAGAAGGCGAUGACGCCGCAGAAGAGGGCCUCGUCGGGGACGACGCGCGCGUCGGCGAGGAGCCUGUCGAGGACCGACUCCAUCUCCGGGAACAUGCGCGCCUUGCCGAGCUUGCGCACGACGAGGUCGUAGGAGCGCGCGGUGUAGCGGAAGGGUUUGGUGGGAGGAGGGCUAGAUGGUGGGGCGGGAUUACGGUUAGGGUUAGGGUUGAGGAAGAGGGUGAGGGCGAGGGAGGGGUCCUUCUCGAGGCGGAGGAGGGAGGUGAGGCGGAAGGGGGAGAUGGUGGUGAGUUUCGCCAUUGGUGCGAGGGGAAAAAGCGUGGGGAGUACAAUAUGUAAGGAGGAAGAUAAUAAUGGGCCGGGCUUGUAAUAACGGGCUCAGAAUCUGAGCCCAAGCUUCGAAUGGGUGCUCGAAAUAAAAAUUUUCAUAACUUGUCAAAUCGCAUCCCAGCCCACUAGCUAUGUAAAUAGUAUUGAGUGAAAUCUUGGAUUAUUAGGCUAAAAAGGUCGGAGAGGAAAAAAUAUAAAAUUAAUUCUUUUUAUUUUUAAUUAAAGCGUAGAAAUUGUUUUUUAAUUGCAAUUUAGAAAACAUAUUAUUUUUUAUAGAAACAAACAAAAUAUUUUCACAUCGCACUUUCCCACUGUGGAUAAUACAUGCUUUGUGAAAUUUCAAAUGCAGCCGUAAUAUCAUAAAAAAUCAAUACAGAGUUAACAAGCUACCUCUGAAAAGAAUAUUAUAAAAAAAAAAAACUGCACCCCUUUCAGUUUCAACUUGCAAGAGAUGGUUUACAACCUCACAUCCACCGGUUAAGGCAUGUUCGUUUUAUCAGAGUUGAAAAAAGAAUAAAAUUAUUUUUGACCGUACAUACUCACUUUUGUUGUUUAGUUAGUCAUAAAUUUAAUUUAUCUGUAGCUUUAUUAUUUUUAAAUGCUGUAAUUAACUUUGCCCUGAAUAACAAAAUUAUUUACAAAAAAGAAAGAAAAAUUGAUAAACAAUUAACUACUAUGUUAGUGCGGAAAUUUUUAGUAAAACAGACAUUAAAAGUGAGAUAAGUACAGUUUGGAAGUCAUUAAUUUUCUAUCAGGAAACUGCGGUGAGAAAAUAUUUUUCAUCUGAACUUAAGUUAAACUAAAAAAUUGUUUUCAACAUAAAAAUCAGUUAGGGCAAACAAACAAACAGGUCUCUAAUAAAUUUUUUCACCCUUUUAUCUCUCUAUUGCCUUAUUGCUUUUCAUCCCUAAUCUCCCCCUUUUAGGGUGCGUUUGGUUCGCAUUAUUAAAAAUUACUAGCAAUGAAAAGAUAUCCGAGAAUCUUAUUCCUAUUCAUCCUAUUACUAAGAAUGUGAAAUUCCUAUAUUUGAUUCACACGGUCAUAUUAUUUAGCUAUAUUAUUUAAGAUUAUAAAAAAUAUACAAUUAAUUAAUUUAUUUUUUAAUUAGUUUUAGAUAAUGCUAUCAAAAAUGUCGACAUCUUUUUAGAAAAAGGAAGAGAAAGUAUAGGAUAGAGAGAGAGCAUAAUUAAAAAAAAUAGAAAGAGACAGUCGAAAUUAGAGGGAGUGAGAGAGUUGAGAUUUUAGAAAAAGAGGAAGAGAGAAAAAGAGUUAAAUUUUAGAGAGAAAGAUAAAUUUAGAAAAAGAUAUGAGAUUGGAGUGUAAAAAAAAAAUACCAAUUAGCCGGCGGGUAGGGAGAAAAAAAGAUAUUAAACAUAUUAUGAUUACCCCAAUCUAUUAAUAUGAGAAUAUCCACCCUUCCUCAAGAAAAUGAGAUUAGUAUUUUGAGAUGAAUCUUAUUCCCAAAUAAAUUCAAUAUUACCAACUAGAUUACUUAGUACGUUUAGCCAAACACCGUCAUUUUUUUUUAUUCCUAUUCGAUUACUAGGAAUCGUUAAAAGAUAGCGCGAACCAAACGCACCCUUAGUGUCAUAAACCCAUCCAUGUUGGUUUUUUGACUAAGGCAACUACAAGCAUCGAGCAGUAAAACCUCGAAACUUUGAUCAAAGACUGAGGCAACUACAAGUACCAUUAUUGGGACAUAAAACCCUAUUAAACAGAAGCAAUCAAGCAAACAACACGAAGAAAAAGGGGACUGACCGAUUGCCGGUGCUCCACCACCGUGCCACAUGCCAACGACCAUCGCAGUUAAAACUCUGACCGCGAGGGAAACAGAUGGAAGAGAAUUCUUUUAUACUAGCUGCGCUGCCACAUUGAACCCUUGAAACUUUGAUCAAAGACUACAACAAGAUAGAAAAGAUGAAAGAGUUGGGACCAACAUUGUACACCUUAAAGAUUCGCAUGCUAAUCAGUAAUCUCAUGCUUUAGGAUCUCUUUGCUGUAGGAAUAGAAUUGGAGAUUCAUUAUUAUGUUUUCCCCAACUACUUUCAACAAGAAGUGUUGUUUAAAGCUCAAGUCCUACAAGUAGAUAUCAUUAGCAGCACAUAUAUAAGAACAGCAAACUAUCCGUGUGCAUAAUAGUCGAGGACAUAAAUACCUCUGUGAUCAAUGAUCAGCAAACUAUCCGUGUGCAUAAUAGUUGACGACAUAAAUACCUCUGUGAUCAAUGAUCAAUGAGUUGCAUACAUACCCAUAUCUAUGCUUGUUAAUAAAUAUCAUACAAAGAAAAGAAGUGAUUGUGGGGUAGAAUAGCAGGGCAAUUCUCCUUUGGCAGGGACUGCUAAGCAAAGUUUUGAGUUUAAAGUGCUUUGCUUUGCCUCCAUGCCAGAGGAGAGCUGCACUGUUAUUCUCAUACCACGCAUUUUGCAGUAGUCAUCUCCUUCACUUGUUUCUUUACCCAUGCUUGAGUCUACAAUCCCACACUUGCUGAGGAUUUAUAGUGAAGCUGCUCACAUAGCACAUUUGGAUAUGCUACAGGAUAUGCUGCUUUUACCAAGAACAAUUCUCAGGGACCUUCCACCCUCUUUUAACCUGUCAUAUAUACUUUUCCUCUUUUCGCAUAUAUAGCACCAAAGCAUGGUCCUCAUUCUCUCGCCAUUUUGAACAAAAAGCAAUCACUCUUAAUCAUCGAUAAGACUUGCUUUCCAUUAUCUCUAUUUAAUAAUGCCACAAACUAGUUGGAAAUGCCUAUUAACUAGCAUAAAUCAAUAUUGUAAUGUUUACUAAUCAACGUGUGCAUGGUUUUUGCAUAUAUUCAGACAUCUCAUGCAUGAAUAUAUACAUGAUGUUGCGCAUACAAAAGACAUUCUAUGGACCACAAGCGAAUCACCUUUUUAUUCCUGUCAUGGCAGCCAGAAAGGGUUGAUAUGCUUUCCACCCGAGAUCGCGAUUGUUAUGGGAUAUCCUCAUGGAUCUUCUCAUUCGAUGAUCUUGAUGAUCGCACUAAAUGAGGAGGAUAUCAGCUUUUUUAUUGGAGAAAGAAAACAUUUUAUUGAAGAGACAGCCAUUGUGCCUUCGAAAGGCCGCGUAACAUAUCUAGAAGCAUCAAAUCAGGAAUCAAGUUCAAAGCAUUGAAAGAUAAAGCAAACACAUACAAUUGCUAAGAUUACUUUUUCUUCGAUCACUAAAAGAAAUAGGGUACAAAUUUUUGCAUGGUACCCCUUCGACAAGAAAAGAAAUACCCCAAGUCCCAGACCUCUGUAGUAUUAGAAACAAAGCGACAGAACAACAUUCAAACACAGAAACAAUUGUAUGUCUUAUUUUUAAAAUUUUCAAAAGAGAUGACACAAUCUUCAAAUACAAGCUUUCAGAGAGCAUGGUUACACUUUUACUAUUUUCUGUAUAGUAUUAAGAAAUUCAGAUGCCACCAGAAAUGUUAGUUAAGCCACAACAUAUAUUGUGGCAUUCUUUAGAUUAUACUGAAGCAAUUCUCUACAUGUUUAUAUGCCUUCUUUCGAGACAUUCUGAAUCUGUUCUAGACUACCACAAUAGCAUAGAGACAAUACAGUGUUUAUGUAGGAGGAAACCAUUAUGAUGCUCUGGUGGAAAGGAAUCAUCACCUUUUGGUUCUAACAUAUAAUAACCAUAGAUACACAAACAGUAUAUAUAAGAUAAUUAAUAUCUCUUAUAAAAAAAAAGAACCGGGGGACCUAAAACAAAGGGAACAUUCAAUCCAAAUCUCCACAAAAGCCCUUCUUAUGCUAACUUUCAUUCGAUCAGGAUUGCUUUUUAUCUGCAAAUGGAUCUGCCAUCGGAUAUGCCGCAGAGAGGGGCUUUCAAGACCCAGCUCUCCCCUCAAGGCUUGACACAUAUAUAUAUAUAUAUCGACGGCAUGGUGCUUCAUUCUGUGGGCUCAAAACAAGCCCUUCGAGACAAAAAAAAAAACAGCAAAUGAGAAAGCACUAAAGCACCGAUGUGGAGCUGCAUUGCGGGGCAAUUACUUCCUUGGCAGUUGGAUGUAGCGCAGAGCGCAGCUUACUGCCAAAGGAGAUUUGCCCAGCAAUUCACCUUCACUUUGCUAAAUUUACCAGUCAUGAAGUGUUGCACUAGCCAUGAGGUAAGCUUAAUUGCCCACUAGGUUGCGAUUCUUUCUACAUGGAGGAAAUGGGUCUAGAGCAUGAAAAAGGCCCUAAUAUUGCCUAUGGGGCUGAGCUUGAUGUUUGUAUCUUAAUACUGAUUCUUGAUGACAUCACAGCUUGUCUGCUCAAGUAAGAUGAUUAGAUUGUGAAUUCAUAUAGAUCAACUUCAAACUAAAAGUAUCAGUGUUUCUCCUCUUCAGAGGUUACUUAUUUCAGUUUUCUACUAUUACCAACCUCCAAUUUCGCUUCCACUACUUGUUUAAGCACUCUUUUAUAAGCUCUACAGCAGACAUUGCAGUCAUCUCAGAAGAAAAGUAACAACCAUUCAUAUAAAUAAGCUCAACUAGAUAACAUUGCUUGUUCUGAGAAUCUGUAAGUAACUAUAACAACAAUUUCAAAGUACCAAAAAAACCCACCAAAAACAGCCAAAUUGUUUGCAAUUCAGGGAAUGAUCAGCUUCUUCCCUGCAUAAAUUGUAUCGCCCGUGAUCCCAUUCACCUCCCUGAUUGAAUCUAUUGAUACCUGAAGGAGACAACCCAUGACUCAUUUCUCAGCAUAUAAGUCGCACAAAGUUGCUUUUUUCAGGAAAAAAGCAUCGGAACCUCCCGCCCAGUUACAAAUGGCCAUCGCAGAUUUAAAAAGUUAUUAACUCUAGCGACCUUAAGAAUCAGCCACCAACCCCUAUAUUUCGUUCGCUUUUGCAAAGUCCAUUAUUAUGUGAUAAUCAUACGAAUCGACAAAAAAGAUUCAAUUUUUACCCCUCUUGUUUAAGUGCACAGAUCAGUAGAAAGGCAUUAGUGGCAUUUUGCUAAAGAAUGGGUGAUUGAUUAAACAGAAAGAUUAUUCGCAUUUUUCUUUGAAUGCUCAGGUGCAUUUAUCUCUUUUUCGAUGUGAAACUUAAUUUGAAAAAAAAAAAGAAAUUCAUGUGGAAAAAAAGAAACAAGCUUACUCCAUAUCGUCGAGAGAGGCCCCAAAGUGUAUCUCCCCUCGCAAUCUCCACAACCCGGCUCUUAGGCGCCUCGACUCGGGGUCCCUCUUCCACCACGAGCUUCUAAGAAGUAAGCGGAGUGUAAAACUUAGUCAGAGCUACUAUUCCGCUGAAUCCAAGAGAAAAUCCAUUGUGAUCGAAACGGGGGAGAAGGAGAAGCACAAAGAGAGGAGACCUCUUGAGGAGAGGGCGAUGGCGAUGGAUAUGGAGAUGGAGAUGGUGGGGAAUGGGGUUGAGGGGGCUUAAAGGCAAGGGCUUUGACGAUGCUCAUGGCGAUCCCGGAGAAGACGACGAACCCCGCAGCCUUCGCUUCCUCUCCUCCUCCAUCUCCUCCUCCGUCUCCGGCGGAGGGCGGCGGUGGCGGCGACAUCGCAGCGGAGGAGGGGGCUCCGGCGAGGGGGGAGUGAGGCCGUGUCGCUUUGCGUGCGCGUACAGAGCGGAGCAUAUACUUUGUCGUGUUCUGUUUUUUUUUUUUUUUUUUUUUUUUUUUUUUUUUUUNUUUUUUUUUAGGCUUUUUGACUUGUCAGUGUCGAGAGCAGGUGUUUUGGUUGUGUAAUUGGGCCAAAGCGAGAUCACAGCCCAAUAAAAAUUAUUGGUCUUGGGCCUAAAUAAUCACUUUAAGAAGUACAAUAUCCUUGUUCGUUUUUUUCUUUUUUCUUUUCUUUUUUUUUUUUUUUUUUUUUUGAGCUCAGUACAAGGCCUUUGUUUGUUGGAAAGGUACUGAUAUAUCUUUUUUUUAAUCCUAUUAAAAUCUAGGCGACCUUAGAGGAUCUACUUGGCUAGAGAAGUCAACUGAUACAAAUACCCGAUACAAAUACCCGAAAUUUUUAUGUGAAUUCGAAAUCUGUAUUAAUUUUAUUAUUAUAUAAUAAAAAAAUAUUUGAUAUUAUAUUUGACUCUAUAUUUUUUAAAUUAAAUUUCAUAUAAAAUAUUUUGAAAUAUGGUACAAAAAAUAAGUGGUUUGGACACGGAUUCAAUUUCAGAUUUUUUUUUUUUUGUUGGAUUUGAAUUUGUAUAUUAAUUUUUAAAAUUCGUGGGCUUCGGAUUUAAAGUUUUAUAGCCGGAUUCGAAUUCGGAUUUUUGAAAACCCGCUACGGUUCCGAUCUUACACUUGAGUCGCUCGUACUGGGUUGGUUUAAACCCCUACGGGCGCACAGAUUCGAGCCCCAACCACAGCUCGCAAAACCGGGAGAUCAUCCUCAGCGUGUUCCCGGGAGGUCGAGCGCGAAGGAUGAAGCCGAGGCGAUUGAAAGGCCAUAACGGAGCGGUCACCUACUGCGUCGCCUCGCGCGCCCGCCCCGGCUUCGUCGCUUCUUCCGCCGAGGUCUCUCUCUCUCUCUAGAAUCUCUCUCUCUCUCUCGAACUUCUAGAACUCCUUCUCAUGGUUUUACCUCUAAUAAUACUACUACAUCUAAUUACAGCAGUUGAUUUUCAUAGGUUAAGUAGUUUAUGGAUGAAUCAUUCAUUAUCAACCUAUUUACGGCCGUGGUUUGCGUUGCGCAGGACAAAGCUAUAUAUGAUAUGAACUCCUAGUCACAUUGUGAAGAACUCAGUUUUAAAAGAUAUAACUUGUUGUUUUCUUGGCUGCAGGAUGGUUGUAUUUGCGGGUUCGACUUGCGCUGCAAAGAUGUUCUUCUUUUUACUAUCAAAGUCGGGGAGGACCCUAUCUCUUCUCUAUGCUUCAAAGAAGGUUAGGCUUAGGCUUAGGAUCAAGUUUGUUUACUUUAAUUUGCUUAGAUAGUAAACUGCUAAUACCAUUGGUCGAAAGUUUUAGGAAAGGGUUACACUACUGAGUAUGUUCUUUAUCACUCAGGAAAUGAAGAUGUUGUCUAUGUCUCCUCUGGAACCGGAAUUUCGUGCUUUGAUAUCCGUAUGGUAAGCUUCCGGGUUCCACUGUCCUGUAUAUGCCGCUUCUUGUCUUUCUCAAAUGGACUUCGCAAUCAAUUUCGUGCAAGUUUUUGGAGUGUCUCUGAUCCGUAAAAUUUCUUCUGUAGGGAUCUCCUUGGACGCCGUUGGAGACUUACAAUUAUAACAAGGAUGAAAUAAAUCAGGUGUCGUAUUGCUCUUUAAAGUCAUUCUUGAUCGGUUAUCGUUUGUCCUUCAACGGUAUAUCUGAAUAUCCUUCUGAGAAACUGUCACUUCUUAGAUUUACAUGUUAAAUUUCGGGUCACAUCACAUGGAAAGUUGGAAAAAUCAUCUAAUUCGACUAAAAGUUUAUUUAUUUUUUUUUUUAGAGAAGACAUUAUUCUCACUAUAUUACAUUUCUUCAGGGAUAACAGAGAAUAAUUGCUGUUCGAAUUUGGUUGGUAAAAAGUGACAGAACCCUUCCAGUGAAAACUGGAUGGAAAGUUAUAAAAGCUCGGAUAUUUAUUAUUUCUCACCUAGAAUUAGCCACAUUGUGGUCAUUUUCUUUCUGCGGAGAGCACUUGUCUUAUUUAAGUUAAACUGUAGCCAGUGUAUUUGGUUGGCAUGCGACUCGUUAUAAAAUAUGUGUUGGCACUACUAUUGGGAUCUAAUGUCUAUUCUUUUCACGCAGAUUGCUUUCAGCUCUAAGUUAGGUUUUCUUGCUGCUGCAGAUGAUAGUGGUGAUGUCAAGGUACCACUUAUGUUCCGAAUGGUGGUGUAAUUAACAAUUAGUUCCUUAAUCCUUAUAUAUAUCAUGUUGUUCAGUCUAUAUCAUUAAAUAUGAUAGUAUUAGUAGAAUUCACGUAACAUUUUCAAUUUUGUUUCAGCCUUCUGGGUUGUUUCCUUUCUCAUUCAAGAGAAUUCAUCUCUAAGUUCUGUCAUUUUCUUUUAGGAUUUUCACAUUAGCAAAGAUCUGGUUUGGAUUGUUGAUGUUAUUUCAGCUAUUUAUGGUCAUUUUUGCUCUCAAUUGCAGAUUGUUGACACGAGCCAGAAAUGCCUGUAUAAAUCGCUAAGAGCAGCUCAUACAAGUGUAUCCUGAUGAUGCUUAAUCCCUCAAAAGUUUUGCAUUUUUAUUCAUGUAAUCAUAGCAUUAUGACACAUGAACAACCACAUGUUCAUGCACACAUUCAUAUGCUUAUGUGGCGCGGAUGUGAACGGACAUGCACAUGCACCGGGCAUGGAUACACUCUCACACUGUAGUUCUGUUAUUUAUGUAUAUUUGUUAAUGCAAGGGUGAAUCUCUAUGACAUUUUACGACCUUUAUACUGUUGACUGUUUGUUUGCUCAUACAGCAUGCUUCUACUUGUUAUUGCACCUUAGCUGAUUUUCUCUACAGAUCUGCAGCAGUGUGCAGUACAUUCCUUGGAAACCUUGGACGGGUAGGUUCCUGAGAAAGUAAAGCAACUUUGAAUAAUUCUCUCUCCCGCAGUGAUGCUUUUGUAGUUCUCCGCUUGCAAUAGUCACGUUGCUUUAUUUUACUAACCAAGUAAUUCACAUGAGAAUAUCUCAUAAUAUUCCACAGUAAUAUUCGCUUCAUUUUCUGGACAAUGUUACCAACAGUUCUCAGCACACCAUCGCAAGCAAAUUUUCCCUGCGUCACUUCUUCAUAUUUGUAGAAAUCCUUGCCUUUGCAGCUUUACUUCACCUCUGUCUUCUAGACUUGACAUUUUCAGUCAUGUUAGCAUUAUGUAAAUUGUUUUCUGACUAUAUCUUUUGUGAUGGGAUAACUUUCAAUAGUAUUUCAACAUUGGGUAUUAAUGUGAAAUGAUUAACAUAAUAAAUAUAUAAAUAACAAGACGUACAUUUGGCAAGUAUCACUUGGUGACUUGAUAAUUAUCAGAAUGCCUCUUGCUAUAUAUAUCCUAUUUGCUGAUUUACUUGGAAUUGCAGUAUUCGUUAUUCCGUUAAUGGUGUUUUUCAGCGUGGCAACCUUGUUUACAGUCACUCUUUACUUUUGUCCUUUUAUUAUUAUGAUGUUUUCCCUUUUACCAAUCGAUUUUGAUUUGCUACAUUUUGACAGUUGUUACUGGUGGUCUCGACUCAAAGCUUGCUAUAUGGGACUUUUCUAAAGGUCGACUGCUUUAUUCUAUUGAUUAUGGUAUGUAUACAACUGAUCACUUUGUAAUUUCUUACAUGACACUACAAGUCAUUAUGAUUAAGAGGAAAAGGAAAAAAAACAAAGAAUCUGUUUUUGGGUUUUGAUGGGAUCUUGUGAAAGCAUGUGAUUUUUCUGCCAGGGACGCCUGAAAUGGACAACAAUGUUUCUCCUGGCAAUGCGGGGCAAUGUUUCAAUCCUGCCUUUGUUCACUCAGUAGCAGUACCUGGAGUGGAUAUGUUGAGUGGCUUGUACAAAGUUUGCGCUGUUGCGAGGGGAGAUGGAGUUGUUGAUGUAAUCGAUUUGGAAUCCGAACUUGCACCUAAGAAAUCAAAGAGUUCGGUGGGUUCUCAAUUAAGAUCUAAAAGAAGUGAUAUCCCAGAUGCAAACAGUCACCCCACUGGUCAAAGUCGAGGGAAGAGGUUACAUCUCGAUUACACCUUGGGAGGCCAUACUGCCGCUGUAUCCUGUGUGUGAGUUAGUUGAAUCUAGCGCUUUUAUUUGUGCCGUGUAUUUCAAUUAGCUAAUACUUUGCUUAUUAACAGGACAUUCUCAGCGUUUGGUGAGAGAGGGAAAUUUCUCAUUUCAGGUGGCAAUGAUGCAACAGUGAAGCUCUGGGAUUGGUCGAAACGCUUUUCUUCUCUACAAACAAGCUGUGAUGGUGAUGUAACAUUAAAUAUUAACUUGAAGAAAAAGGUACUAGCUACACUUAGUAUAAAUUCUCUUGCGCUCUUCACUAUUUGUGAGCAUAUACUUUAGCCUGUUUACCAAAUUUUAAUUAAACUACAUUACGUUAGCCUUAACAUGCUGAUAAGAACAUGUAAAAUUUCCAAUUCUGCUUGCUUGCUUGAUUUUUUUUUUUUUUUUACUUUGUUUCUGUUGGCAGGUUAAUUGGAUUUGUACUUCUCCAACUGAUUCAGAAAACCUAAUUGUGUGCGACACAUCAAAAGUGCUAAAAGUUUACACUGUUCAAUAGACCGAAGAAUGCGCAGAGAUGCUCGUAAGCUUGAAGGAAAAGUUUUGACACACUGAUUUAUGGUGAUUUUCUCGGAGAGUUGAGCUACAACUGCUUCCUCCUGCAACUUGAGAAAAACACCAAGCUUCUUUCCAAGCUGAACAAAUACUUUUUGGUUCCUUCAUCGAAAGUUCACGCAUCGGAAGCAACCUGCUUGUUCUAAGUUGGCUUUUGAGUGAAAAAUGCCAAUUUUAUUAGUUUCUUUCAGUUAAGAGAUUUAUGUAUAAUCUGUAAUUUAGCCACAAACUGCCAUAUUGGAUCUUGCAUUGCUUUGAAGCACUAUUGAUGUAUAAUUAUCAUCAUCCAAAACAAGUGUUAUUGUGCACAUUACUUGCCGCAUUGAGACUAUUAAAUUAAUUUCUGGAUGCAGAUGAAAAACUCUACAUAUUAUCAAGAUAUAUUUGAAAGUUCCAAGCUUGUUGACAAGCACUACUACAAUGGCUAGGUUGCUAGGGAAUAAUCUCUUUUGAUAAUUCACCAUUGUCCUCUACAAGAACACCUCCCUUCUUUGAAAUGGUGAAACCGGUUUGAGUCCCUCAAGAUGAUCUCUCGACCCACCAUCUUGGAUAUAAACUUCGCAACCUCAUGGCAAUCGCCGCACACUCUUAAGUUCUUUGCAACUCGAAUGGGCUUUCCUGUCGGCGAGUUCAAGAUAACGAAAGCAAUCGCGAGCCUCUCGCUGUGCCCGCAUAAAGCCUCCUCCUUCGCUGAAUCAUCCCCAUUUAUCAACGCAUACCUUGUCUUUGGUACAUAGGCCUCAUCCUUCAUCCUUCUAGUCACUUCUUCGAGGAAAUCCAUUAUCUUCUUUGAUUGCGAAUGCGAUUUGUCACCUGAAACAAAGAUGUGAACUUUGCCCUUCAUCUCUAUCCAACUGCAACCUGGGUUUUUCUUAAGUCCACGGCGACUGACUUUUUCUCUAAGUUUCUUCACAGCCUCCCACUUUUCGGCUUCAGCAUAAAUAUUUGCUAGAAGUACAUAAUAUCCGGUAUUCUGCGGUUCUAGUUCGAAAACUUUCUCAGCAACUGUCUCUGCAAGCUUCACAUCUCUAUGUAUUCGACACCCACAAAGCAAUGCGCCCCAAAUAGUCGAAUCAGGCUCUAUCGGCAUCGCUUCGAUAAACUUGUAUGCUUUAUUUAAGCGCCCAGCACGACUAAGUAGAUCGACCAUACAGGCAUAAUGCUCCAAUUUUGGCUCUAUUUUGUACUCGUUUCUCAUUAUGUUGAAGAACCUCCAUCCUUCGUCUAUUAAACCCGAAUGGCUACAAGCGUACAAUAUGGCGAUAAAAGAAACAUCAUCCGGUACAAUCCCUUUACAUCUCAUCUCCUUGAAGAGAGCAAUGGCAUCUUGUCCAUGGCCAUGCAUGCCAUACCCAGCUAUCAUCAUAGUCCACGAGAUGAGGUUUUUUCCGAACAUCCGAUUGAAGUGCAUCCGAGCAAGCAAUAGUGCACCACAUUUGGCAUACAUGUCGACGAGGGCAUUAGCAACAUAACUAUCUCCAAAACAGUUUGUUCUUAAAAUGUAGCCAUGGAUCUCUCUUCCUCUCUCUAGAGACGAAAGACUAGCACAAGCAGGAAGGAUACAUGCCAUGGUCACCGAAUUGGGUCGAAAGUGGGAUUGCAUUUCGCCGAAUAAGUGAAGUGCUUCGUUAGGAAGAUUAUUCUUCGAGUAGCCUCCUAUUAACGUAUUCCACGAAAUAAGAUCCUUCUUAACGGUUUGAUCGAAAACUGACCUAGCAUUCUCCAUAUCUCCACACUUUGCAUACAUGUCCAUUAGUGCAUUUGCAACAAAUAGAUUCUUCUUCAUUCCGCUCUUCACAAUAGAGUCAUGAACAAACUUACCGUGGUUGAGCGACCCUUUACAUGAACAAGCAUGGAGAACACUUGUGACCGCGAAUUGAUCUGGUUUAACACCUCUCGAUUCCAUUUCUUCAAAUAACGAGAUCGCUUCAUCAUACUGUCCAUCUCGGGUGUAAGCCGUAAUCAUUGCAGUCCAUGACACGACGCUUCUUUGAUCCAUUUUCUCAAAUAACUGAACUGCACUACCCAAGUUUGAACAUUUUGAGUACAUAUCAAUUAGAGAGUUACUGAGAGAUAACUCAUUAGCUAAUCCGGCUUUUGUUGAGUACCCAUGAAUAACUCUACCUAUCAAAAGAUAACCCAAUUCAGCACACGCAGGAAGUACACUAACUAGCGUCGCCAAAUCCAUAUCCACCCCCUCAAACCACAUACUCGUAAAUAGCUCAACACCCUUAGUGGAAAAUCCGUUCGACGCACACCCACUAAUAAUCGAAUUCCAAGAUAUCACAUCCCUUUGAGGCAUUUCGUCGAACAAUGAGAUCGCGCUUUCAAUUCUAUUAUUCUUACAGUAGAAAGCAAUAAGCGCGUUACCAACUGUGAUAGAAGCUUCAAAACCCAACUUCAUGAGAUGCCCAUGAACCACCUCGCCUCCACGAACACGGCCGGAAACCGCGAAACAUUUUAAGAUGCAAGAGAAGGUAUGCGAAUCAGGCGCGAUACACGAACCGUGCAUCUCUUUGAAAAGAAAGAUGCUCCCUUUGAAAUCACCAGCCUUUGCAUGCUCAUUCAGUAAUAGAUUCCAAGGAAAUGGGUUUGCAUUAAACGCAAUCUCAUCAAGUACUCCUCUUCCUCCUCUCAAGUCGCCGCAUUUAACAUACAUGAACACCAAUUUCGACCCCAAAACAGAGUCUAUUGGGACAUUAGAAGAGGAUAUUACCAAAUGGGCUCUCCUCCCAUCAUCUAAAGAUCCGAGCUUGGCGCAGAGCUCCAAAACGGAGCAAUAAGUCUCCGAAUCGAUGCCGGAAUGCUUCGAAUCGGAUCCAGUGAUCAUUUCCAUGGCCUCUUUUAGAUUACCCAGUUGGCAAAACCUUCGGAUUUGGGCAUUAAGAUCGAAACUACGAUUCUCCGAGAUCGAAACAGAGGCGUUUCCAAUGGUUUCGGAGACCUCUGCGUGCAAAACCCCAAGGCGGGAUUUUGGAGAGAAGAGAAUGCGAGGGUGGUGGGUUCGACUCUUAAGCUUGGAGCGGUUGAUGGGUGGAGGAGAGAGGGAGUGGUAGAGAUUGGAGAUCGAAGAGAGAGGCGCCGCCGCCAUUAAUGGAGCUCGUCGUACGGGUUAGAGAGAGAAAGAGAGAGAGAGAGAGAGGAGAAGGGGAAAAGGUUUAAACUUUGCCGGGAAAAUAAGGGGAAUAAUUAGAUAAUAUAUUUUAAGAAUUUUCAUGUUUUAUAAAUAUGAAUCCGUUGUAGUCUAGUUGGUCAGGAUAUUCGGCUCUCACCCGAAAGACCCGGGUUCAAGUCCCGGCAACGGAAUCAUAGUUUUUAAAUUUUUAUUUUGUUUUUUAUUUAGGGAAUACAACAAGGGAAAAUUAACUUUAUUUUUUUGUUUUUUAUUUUUAAUACAAUAAGGGGAAAUGAAUCCAUUUACACAUACAAACAAAAAUUGUAAAACAAAAAGGAAAAUGAUUCUUGUACACCGAAAAAAGGGGUGUAGAUCUACAUCUUUUAUUCUAGAAUUGAUAAAAAUUUAAAUAAUUUUUAGUAAAUAUAAAAGAAGUUGAUGUGAUAAGUAGAGUAUUAAUGAUUUGGAAUGGAGUAGGUAUAAGAUGUAUAUUCUAUUUUAGAGCGUAUCACUAGUAUUUCUCAUCUAUAUUUUGCUUAUUUAAAAUUUCAAAAAAAAGGGUGUAGAUCUACAUCCUUUAUUCUAGAAUUGAUAAAAAUUUAAAUAUUUUUUAGUAAAAAUAAAAGAAGUUGAUGUGAUAAGUAGAGUAUUAAUGAUUUGGAAUGAAGAGGGUAUAAGAUGUAUAUCCUACUUUAGAGUGUAUCACCAGUACUGCUCAUCUAUAUUUUACUUUUUUAAAAUUUUAAAAAUAUUUUUAGAAGAAUACAGCGUUAAUAAAAAGCGCAAAAUAACUAAAUUAUCCUUAUUUCUUCUAUAAAAAAAUUAAUUAUUUUUUAAAUAUAUUUUUAUUAUUUUAAAAAAUAUUUUUAAUUUAAAUUAUAAAAAAUGAACAGAAUAAUAAUGAAACCUGACAUAGGGGGAGACUAAACUCAAUACCUUAAAAUGUUGAGCGGAUUAAAUAUAAAUUAUUAAAAGUUUGAGAGAAAAAGUGAAAAAAAUGGAUAUUUAUAAAAAAAAAAUUCUAUAAUUUAGCCGAAAAGAAAAGGACUAAAAUUCUUUUCUUUUGGAGAAAAAAAUUGAUAGCUCAAACUUAAAAGAAAAAAGAAAAGAAAAGAAAACAACUUUCCUGUGCAAGCAAAUUAACCUAGACCCUUUUUCACAUUAAAUUUUAGUACAAAUGUGAUUUGUAUUCUGAUGAAACAACAAAAAAUCUCUAUUUUUGGGAAUAUUACCCCUGUAGUAAAUGGAGAAGCACCAACUUAAUUUCUCAUAUUAAUUUUAUUUUACAUGAAAGAACAAAGCAAGUAUGAAAACGACCACAAAACACACCAACAAAAAAUUACAAAAUGUUUGGCCUCUCAGGCAACAAACCCAUUCUGAUGAGUUACUGUUGUUGUAGCUCCCCACCAUUCUCCUCUCACUCCAUUCUUGGAUGAAGCUGUGGUCUACCUCGCCAACUAUGUUCUUCGCGAUUACACCGCAAAUUUCACAACACCUGUACCGCAAAAGUUCUAAUCAAAAGAAAUAGUAACUAAGAUGUUAGGAAACAGUAAAAGACAUUAUUUUUCGUAAUAGAAGGAAACUAAUAUUAAGUAAAAUCCAUAGAAAACAAGGCUAUACUAACUGUUUCAAGGUAAAAAGAAAGGUGACCAAUAAGGAACAAAUUAAUUAAAUUUAUUCUACUUAACAAUGAAAAAACAUACAUUUUGAUUCAAUCAAUAAUGCACUCAUAAACAGAGAUAGUUUGAAUAAUUAAGAAGUGCAUUAUAAGAAAUUAUAAACUAUGACCUACAUAAGCACAUGGCCUUGCUAGUGGCCCACUCACCACACAAGAGAAUUAAAAAAAAAAAAAGAAAAAAAAAAAAAACUAAAUAGGCUAAGGUAUAUGUGUCUGAUUAAUUCCAGUGGCCAUGAUAUAUAUUAUAAUUAUAAUACACAAUAAGAAAUGAAUAUGCUUGUUAAUUUAAUUGUUAGCUGUGUAUAAGGAAAUUUUUUAUGUUUGCCAUUUAAUUUUUUUAUUUUCCAAUUUAAUACUUAAUUCCUUCUCCCCCAUGGAUUUAACUGGAACAGGCUCAUUCCUCAAAUGUCAGAAGGAAAAGUUCAACCCUUCAUUAGAAUAUGAGUAGGAUUCCGAAUGUUAGGGCUACCUAAAUUUAUAGUUCAAAAGCCACUUUUAACAUUUAACAAGUAAUUUUAUUUUAUUUUUUGUUUUAGGUAACAAAAUUGACUUAUGAAUAUCAAUUCUGAAUGUUUCGACCACUUGUUCAUGAAUACAUGACAAGCUGAUUUAUAAACUAUAUUUUGCAAUAUAUUCUCGGAUACCCACAUGCUUUACCAAUGUCGAAAAUGAUGAACGCAAUAUUAGCAGUAGUCCUUGUUUAUAAAACAUGAAAGCUCAAUUCAAGGAGAAACUAACGCACAAAAAUUGAAAUCAAAGAAGAUCAAGAACAGAUGAUUUGCCCUACUUACUCUUAUGUCUUCAAAGUGAACAACACUACAAUUACAUAACACUAUUUAAUUCCCAGGCAUGUUCAAAAUUCCAGUAAAAUGGAAUCCAAGGAACAAAUAAAAUCUCACGCACGAGUAGAUAAUUAAUGCAAGAGAAUACCUAUCACCCUUCACCAUGAACCACGCCUCGGCGCAGUGGCGGUGCGCAGCUCCGAGCUCGCCCUUGCACCCGCAGCCGAGCUGGAUCAAAUCGGAGCCUUCGCACUGCUCCGAGCUGAGAUGGCAGAUCCUGCACACCUUUUCUUUGAUCUCAUCCACGAACCGUUCACCGCCUUCGUCUCUGCGAGAACUCAGGUCGACCGCCGCAACCACACUCUCCGGUAAGCCCAACCCUGCAUCCGUCUCCACCGUGAUCACAACACUGACGCUGGUUUCGGUGGCAGCGUUAUGAAUAUCGAUCUCUGUCAUGAUAGAAAAUUUUGGAGUUAUAUAAAUUAUCUAUAACGAAGGGAGGGAACAGUUUUGGUUUCAGCAUGUGAGAGAGAGAGAGAGAGAGAAUGACUGUGUAGAGGGUGGUUGACCAAUGCAAAAGGUGGAAACGACACAGGUUAGGAAAAGGAAUGGGGAAUGGUUCUGAACACAUAAUUCACACGUCGUAAAUACAUUUUUUUACUGGUUCUCAUGCUUACUAUAGCUUAAACAUAAAAUUGCGGAGAAAACUUUUCCUCCAAAUUUUCUUUCAGAUACAUGAAGUUGUCGUUUCAUAAUACUUACUUAUCAUUGUUUGGCCUAACUUCUGAAAUAGCUUCACAACUUUGAUAAAGUCGAGUCGAGCUCCAGAUUCAAGUACUCUCCUAUGAUCUCAUUUCUUUCAUAUGCUCAUUUAAUAUACUCAAUACAAAGAACAAGCCAUCCCCCUCAGGAUACUGUGCUCCUCCCUUGGCCACAAAAGAAUGAACUACACCAUCUAAUUCUAUCCAACUAAAUCCAACACACUUCUUCACUCCCUUCUCCUUCAUCAUCUCCCUCAUCACCUCCACAUCCUGCCACCUCCCACACUCUGCAAGCAUGUUCGAUAACAGCACGUAAUACCCUGAACUAACACUCUUCGAUUCGAGUAUCUGAGCUCCCGUAUAUACUCCGAUGUCCAAAUUAUUGUGUACUUUGCUUGCUCCAAGCAACACUCCCCAUAUCUCAACACUAGGCUUCGUCGGCAUUGUCCCUAUUAAGUCGAGAGCUUCUUCUAAUCUCCCCGCGCGUGCAAGCAAGUCCAUAAUUAAAGCAUAAUGCCCUUCUCUAGGGCUAACUGUGAAGUUCUUCAAGCUGUUGAAUAUCUCCAUGCCUUCGUUAACCAAUCCCCCAUGGCUACAAGCCGACAAGGCCGCGAUGAAACUGACGUGGUCGGGCUCUUCUAAAGUUCUAAACAUUUCAAGUGCAUUUUCUCCUUGACCAUGGAAAGCAUAAGCUCCAAUCAUCACAUUAUAAGCAACCACGUUCUUGUCUUUUACUAGAUCAAACAUUCUUCUAGACUCCACUAUCCUUCCGCAUUUCGCAUACAUGUCUAUCAAAGCAGCCCCUACAAAGGAGUGGUCUUCAAAUAUGUUCUUUAUCGCCCACAAGUGGAGUUCUUUCCCUAGCCUUAGCCCAGAGACACCUGCACAGGCUGAAAGAACACUUGUGAUCGUAAUUGAGUUCGGCUCAGUUUUAGCCCUUACCAUUUCCCUGAAGGUAUUAAGGGCUUCAACAAAAUAUUGGUUCUGUGCAUAACCCACAACCAUUGAGCUCCACGAAAUCACAUCUCUAUCUCCAGUUGCCUUAAACACUUGUUCGGCACAUUGGAUUUCACCAUGUUUGCUGUAGACUGAAACGAGAGCAUUUUGAACCCUUCGAUCAGGUUCUAACUUAUGCCUGAGAGAGUGAGCAUGGAUUUCUUUGCAGUAAUUUAAACAAGAAAGACCAGAAAUUGCUGGAAGAACACUCGCAAUUGCUACAACAUCCGGCUUCAAUCCAGUGCUUAACAAUUCCGCAAAGACCGUAAUUGCUUUAUCAGAUAAAUCAUUCUGAGAAAAGGAAGAUAUGAUCCCACUAUAGGUUACUACAUCAACAUCAAAACCAUGCAGCUUCAUGUCUCUAAGAAGCUGCAUACUCUCUUCAAAUAACAAAUUCUGAGCAUAGACAGAGAUCAUUGCAUUCCAUGUAACUCGAUCCUUUAAGCUCGAGCUAUCAAAAGUUCUACGAGCUUCAAUAACUCUACUGCACGUCCCGUAAGCAGAAAUUAGUCCGUUUUGAACCACGGAGGUGUUCUCAAAUCCCAUUCUCAAAACAUAUCCAUGCACUUCCCUAACAACUAUAGUAGUAGAACAGGAUGAUAAGAUGCUAAUGAUAGUAACCUGAUCCGGCUUUAAACCAGACCGAAACAUCAUCUUCACUUUCUGCACAGCCUCCAAUUCAAACCCAUAAGCCGAAAUAAUAGAGUUCCACGACACAACAUCUCGUUGGGGCAUUUCAUCAAACACUUUGCUACUAUCCUCCAAACUCCCACAUUUAGCAUACGCACAAAUCAAUGCGUUACAAACAAACAAAUCUGAACCAAACCCACAUUCGACAGCCAAUUCAUGGAGCUCUUUCGCUUGUGAAAGGUCCGAAAUUGAAGCGCACGCCUUGAGAACGCACGAAAAAGUAUACGAAUCGGGUUUAAUUCCUUGUUUCCUCUUACGAUGAAACAAAUCGACGGCUUCGUGAUACAACCCAUUGGAGGAGUAACCUCUGAUCAUGGCGUUGAGGAGGAACACGUUGCAACUGGGGAACUCAUCAAAGAUGGAAACAGAGGUCUUAAGAUCACCACAAAGAGAGUACAAGGCGAUGAGCUUCGCGGAGAGGAAGGAGUCGUCGCGAAGGCCCGAGAUGAGGAUUCGGGUGUGGAUCUGUGAGCCGAGGAUGAGGUGUUCGGUGUCGAUGCACGAGUCGAGGAGGUGAAGGUAUUGUUGGGGUGCGAAGCGGGAGGUGUGUGAGAGUGGCGCGAGAGAGGAGAUGGUGCGGAGAUAGGGUUUGGGUGGGGAGGAGGAGAGAGAUUUGAAGAGGGUGGUGGUUAGAGAUGGGAAGAAGGGUUUCAUGGCGUGCUACGUGAGGAGACAUGGGAGGGGAUUUGGGGGAAGCGUAGAGCGCGGGGAAGAAGACGCCUUUGGAGUUUGGAUGGCUAAACAAGGAAACGGCUCUUUGAUUCUACUCAUGCGGAGCAUACAUUAUGGAAACUGUCCCCAUAAAAUUUGUCCCCUCAAUUACCCCAUUAAGCUUUAACAGGCCUCUUCCUCUUCAUGCCCGCCCAGGCAGGUGUGACUUGUGUGCGCUUCCGAGCCACUUACGGAAAAAUCAGUUCAAAAUGAAUGAAAGUGUUGCUCCAUUCCACACAUCAGAAGAUAUUUGAUAUGAUCUCAUUGACAAAACAAACCAUACUACAAAGAAAUCAAAUGAAACAGAGUAGGUCUAAAAUACAAGGGGGGUAAAGUUUAGUAAAAAGAAACCACGUAAACAGAUACAAAAAGAAACAGGAUACAUCAUACACACUGACAUCUCAGUGGUCCAGCUACAGCUAGGAACUCAAGCAUUAGGGGCAUUUCUCGGAUACUGAACAAGUAUUGAUACAGAUAGGCCGAAAAAGAGAAAAUAAUAAGUAGAUUGACUUCGAAAAUAAACAUAAACAUAAUAUUGCCACAAAAUCACCCAAAACCCAAUUUCUACGAUAAUAAAUAAUAGACCUCUGGACACCAAAGUUGCAUUUACACCUUAGACGAUUCAAAAUACGUACGAACUACGCUACCACUGGCAUACAGUAGAAGUAAUAGUUCAAAAAACAUUAAAGCAAAGCAAAUUAGGAACCUACAUUACAGAUUCAUCGGUCCCGUAACAGAACACCCCCCCCUUAAAACUCCAGCAAUACUUCCAUUUCCUGCAGUAAUACUUCCAUUCCUACUAAACACUACGCAUAAUGAGGUUUCCUUCAUGGUCAAGACAAUAUACAGGUUGCGACAAAAGCUGCGAGGAAUUUGGCACCUCUCUGAUUCACCAGAAGCACUAGUUCUACCCCCAACUAAAGAGAAAAACUUGGUGAUGGUACAAUUUAGGAGCACCAGAACUUGUACCCUGCUAUGCUUCAGGUGGUGCACUUUGACAAAAAGGAGCAAAACUAUUUAAACCAUUUAUGUUCCACUAGGGUGAAGAAAGUUGAGGCCGGUUUGUCGCCUCACAUGUUCUGGUAUCAACCUGGUGAUAAGCUCUGGUGAAACACCUGCUAACUGCAAACCAACAGAAAGGGAAAAAUCAUAAGCAUAGUUAUGGCAUCGAGAUUUAUAUAUUUUUAUACCAGUUAAUUAAAACAUAAAAUUUGCAGUUUCUUGUUGAUAAAAUUGUUCUUGUGGCCACCUAAUGCAACACGCUUUUAUAUUCCAAGCUACAAUGAAAGCAGAUGGAUGGCAAGAGGAAAUUUGAGCUGUUUAUGGAGUCAAGGGUGCGAUUUUGGCAACCACAGUAAUAUGAUCAGGAUAGUGGAUCCUAUUAUGUGCACACUUAAACAGUUGAACAUCCGGUUAGGUUUACAGCACAGCAUUUCAUUGUUGCAUAGAGAAAAAAAACAAAAGAAAGAGAGAAAUCUGCAAGUAAUGCAGCUCCAGGUCAAGCCACCUGCAACUAAUGAUAAAAAUAGAACUACUGCCAUGCCACAAUUCAAAGCUUAUUCACACAAACAGUAGGCUGAUAAGCUAUAUAGAACUUCCACUGUUAAAUGUUACACUACAAUUUAUAACCAAAGAAAAAAGAGCUGUAAAUAAAAGAACAACAAAAAUUUAAAGAGUGUAUAAAAAACUUACUUCUUGCUUGAAGUUGAAAAGGGGAGGAAAAGGACGGCCGUUUGGCAACCGAGCAUUAGGUUCUCUGAGCUCAUCAAAGAAGGGAUGUGCACAAGCUUCAAGCUGUAAUUUAAAUUUAAAAAACUUGAUUAAAAAAGCACAUUGAAACCAAUCUAUAAAUGUUGCAAAGAAGCUAUCAAAAUAACAAGCAAAAAAAAAAGGCAAGAAAACUCACAGCAGUACAGCGAAGACUUGGCGAAUAUUGAAGAAGUCUUGAAGCAAGAUCUAUCGCUUCUGGAGGCAUUCUCUUGUGGAAAAUCUGAAACAAGCAACACAUUCAAUACUGGUAGGCAAUGUAUGCAUUAUGCCAGCAUCAUCAUCAGAAUUAGUUGGGAACAAGUACAAAUUCUCAAGGAAAAGAUCUACAUCAUCAGAUAUAGACAAUAGCUCAGAUCCAUAUGGUGCAAUACAAAUUUCAUGUUAAUGUUGGCAAUCAACUAAGAGAACCAAAAUUUGUUCAAGAGAGGGGAGGGGGGGGUUAUGGAAUGAAAAGUAUAAUUCCCAUUUUAUUUUUUCUGGAAAGAAAGAAAUAAUCUCACCUUUCUGGACAAGCAACAAAUUAUAAUUGCCCUAUUUAUGAAGUAUUUGUCUAGUGCAAGACAAUAAUUGCUAUCUCUAACGCUAGAAUUUUAAUGAUCAGAAGCCAAACUCUGGAGAUUAAGGAAAGCUACUUAUUUCAUGCCUACCUUGUGCCAUGGAUGAGCUUUUAUCUGUGGAAAUCUAAAUUCUGUGUAGUUCGGGUUCAUACACCGAAUUUCUUCACGUGUUGGAGUACCAAGAACCUGUAGGUGAAUCUAUAAUUACACUUUCUCUUCUCCCAUCAGGAAAAUUAGAAAAAAAAAAAAGGGCAUAUUAUUCUAUACCUUGAUUAUCUCAACAAGCUGAUCAACAGCACUUUCUCCAGGAAAGAGUGGCUGAUGAAUGUAAAACAAACAAAGUAACAUACAUGUAAGCUCCAAAAACCAAACUUGCAUAGUCAAGAAGAUAAGCUAAGAACAGAAUGAGCAAAAACUCAAACCUGUCCAAGAAGUAACUCAGCAAGAACACAUCCAGCUGACCAUAUAUCAAUAGAUGUAGUAUAUUCAGUUGCACCAAAUAUGAGUUCAGGUGCACGAUAAUAGCGAGAGCAUAUGUAUGAUAUGUUUGCCUCACCCUUAACCUGCAAUGGAAGAACAACACAGGCACAAAGAUUGUGCGUAGACAGACAAAGUGAGAUGCACAAUUGAAAUAUAACAAAUUGAACUUUUGCAAAACAAGGAAAUUCCAAUUCCCAAUAUCUGAUGACGAGAGCCAUCCUAUCUAUACUUAAAUCAUUACGUCAGAAAAACUAUGCAACUGUGUGUCCAAAGCAAACAACAGCUUAAACAUGGAUAUUAAUGUUGUUAAGAAAAAGCAGACAAGUUGCUAUUAAACUGUCAACAUAACACAAAUAGAAGGCAUCUCAAGAAUUCGCUACAACUCACAAAUACAAAGCAGAAUUUGAAAUAAAUCUCAGUAACAGGAAUUAAUGUGAUUAUGUAGUAGCAAUGGCAUAUAGAGGUAGCCGACUACAAAUUUGGCAGGCAAAUCUGACUGUCAUAGACAUGAUAGGAUAAUAUUAUAGUGGCACUGAUGUGAGAACUUAUCGCUAAGCAAUAAGGUAAGCCUUGCAAGGAUGAAAGCUCAUUAGUAUAGCAUAGCAUAUAUAAUAUCAUGCACACUUACAACCAACAUACCAGAAUUUUUGCGCUCCCAAAAUCACAGAGCUUGACUUGGUGAGUGAGAGGAUCAACCUAUAAGGAACAAGAGGGAAUAAAUAAGGACCUAGCUGCCAAAUGUAAUGAACAAUGGCAUUAUAAAACUCGUUAAAACAUACCAACAGAUUUUGUGGCUUCACAUCUCGAUGACAAACUCCCAGAGCCGUGUGGAUAUAAGCUAGCCCCCUAAAUAUCUACAUCCAAAUGAUCAAAAUUACAAUCUUAACCCAAAAGAACAUUCCUUCUAUCUGACACUUCGAACAAAUAAAGGGCUGUGAGGGCCCACCUGAUACAUAUAAAGCUUCACAUAAAUAAGAGGCAUCCUUUGAUUCGCAUUGCUGUAAUGCUUUAGGACACGAUACAAAUUUUCAGGCACAUAUUCCAUGACUAAGUUAAGGAAAAGCUCAUCCCUGCUAGUGGUAGAGAAGAAGCAGUGCUUCAAAGAUAUAACGUUGGAAUGAUCCAUUGAGCGCAUCAGUUGUAACUCGCGAUUCUUGUACCGUCUGUCCUGCAAGACCUUCUUGAUGGCAACAGUCUCCCCGGUUUCCAAGCACUUUGCCUGCAAAAGAGCAAGCAAGUAUAAAACCACAGUCCAAAAGAUAUAUCGUAUUCUCAGCAAUGGCAAAUAUUAAAUAUACAAGAGAUAUCAUCUCAUAUACCUGGAAAACGAUUCCAAAAGACCCAGUUCCCACAACACGCUCCGCCAUGUAACUAAUGGUCUGAAGGAAUGUGAAUACCACCCAAGUUAGAGACAAAUUUAUAUGAAAUUUCAACUUAUUAUCGAUCCACCGAGCAAAAUUACUUUCAAAAUUCCAAUACCCGUUUAGGUUCGCCAUUCUUUCCUCCGAUAGUAGUGGAGAUAAUGUGACCAGUGACCGGAUCAUUGCCCUCUAUUGUAGAUGCUUCAUGCUGUUUAUUUCAUUCACAAUUUCAAUAUCAGCAUGAAGAAAAAAACAAAAUAAGCACCAUAGUGAGUAAUACUGUAACAUACAAAGGAUUAGUCACUAGAUAAACACAGAUUUAUACUACCAGACACUAGAUCAGACGAAAACCCUAAAAUAGAUUCAAAAAAUCAGACCCUAAAUAACCUAAUUAAGGCGAUCGGAGAUCUAACAUUACCGAAAAUGGCAAAAUAACACAUGAAAACACUUGGGGAAACAAGAUUUCUACUUACCAAAACCAGAAACGAAAACUCGAAACUGGCCACAUGAACAGCAACCAGGGCAACAUACUAAACCAAAAAAGAAAACAAAAAGGAGAUCCUCGGAUCUACAAGCGGACCUAAGAAUCUCCCAACUAGGGAUCAACAAGUACAAAAAGAAGAUCGAUUCGAAGCGAUUCGAUCUACAAAAAGAAGAGACCAAAACCCUAAUCGCGUCGGAACCCUAAGAGAUCGCCGUAAAACUACCUUCUUCUCCGCCGCCUCCGGCGGCCGCGGAUCGACGAUCAUCGGCUCCGGCUCCGGCUCCGGCGCACGGUUGGGUCCCAUCGGAAGCGACGCCAUGGGGAACGACACCACCUACAACAACCUCCUCCCUCCCUCCCUCUCUCUCUCUCUCUCUCUCUCUCUCUAUUUUCUUCUCUCUCUCAUCCGCACCCUUUCACCCAUGGUGCGAACCGCGCAUGCGAAAUACCUAAAAUACCACUGAUUCAACCGUACAACACUUUCGUUAAUAAUGGUUUUAAUUUGGGUUUAGUCUAUUUUCUUCUCUUUUUUUUGGGGUGAAAAUGUAUGGAGUACCCCUCAACCAUUAGUUCAUUUGAACACGAGGCUUAAACUGUUUUUUUAAUUAUUUCAUCAAAUUUAAUAUUUUUAAUUACUUUAUAGUAAAUAAUAUUAAGCUAUCCGAUUUAAUAACUUCUUAAAAUUAAACAACUAUAAUAACUUAAAUUCGAAAAAAUAAAAGUCCAAUUGGUCUAUGGUUGAGGAGGUCUCUAUACACAUCGAAAUAAGGUGUAUGAAUAGUUUUUUUUUUUAUUUAUAAAAUCCUAAGCUUUGAAGUAGAGUAGUUAGGGAUAAUAAACUGAAAAGCAAUGGAGAUUACCAAAAUGGUCCUUAAACAGGUGCGAAUUUUAGACAAGGGAAGUGUAUAUAAAAUAGUGGGAGGUGAAGGGUGAUGGGCCCAGUCACAUGUUCUUAUUACCUGUAUCACUGACCACUAUCUUGGGCUUGGACUACAGAGGGGGCAUUGUUUGAACCGUGGCCAUUUUGCAUUGAGGUUCAAUUUAUUUUAUAAUUUUACACCUUGUUCUUUUUUGUCACCUUCUAGCUAUUUUUCGUUUAUUAAUUAAUAGUCUUAUCUUGUGAAUAGGAUUUUCUCGUUCUUCUUCUCUAUCCGCAGGCCAUGACCGCUUGGAGAUAUGCAAUGGCAAGGAGAACAGAACGUCUUUCUCGACUUCUUCUUUUCCUAUUGUAUUCAUCUUCAGCGAGAGGCAACUUUACCAUGCAAGGACCGAAGGUAAUCCAGUUUACUGUUUGCAGGCACGCUCGGAUUCAAAUCGAAAUGAGCUCAAAAUCAAUUGCUUAUUUAAUAAAUUAGUCGAACACGAGCUCAUUUCAGCUCAGUCGUAUUCAACUUAAUAUAGCUCAAAUAUAUAUAUAUAUAUAUAUAUAUAUAUAUAUAUAUAUAUAUAUAUUAUAAAUUUUUACCAUUUAGAUUUUACGCUAAGCCAUUUGAGAAUUUCAAUUAUUGUAUUGAGAUUAUAAUUUUUUAAAAUUUUUUUCAAAUUUUUUACCUAGUAAUAAGGUUGACAAUCUAAUUUAUUAAUAAACAUACCGAAGACAAGCAAAAUUUUUUAGCUCGAUAUUUUAAUAAGUCGAACACGAGCUGGUCCAGCUUGCUUAUGUUCGGUUCGUUGACUGCCCUAGCUCCUGAUAGGAGCAGUACUGCUCUUCUCCAACAUUCAUAAGCGUCGUGCAAUAUUUACUACCUGGGCUCCACAUGGGCCGAAUGAUUAGUUUCCAAAAAUGAAUGAUGGGUUGUUGCAGCCCAAGUUACUACAAAGCUUUACCCUGUACUGAUUAGGCCUAUGUGUCUCCUCUUAAGAAAAAUAUUGUAUGUACCUGGUCUAUAAAAAUCGGGUCACAUGGGCAAAGAGUUUCGUGUUAACUCGUAUUUAAUAUCGAGAACUGCCUAAACAUAUUUGGCCAUGAGUAGAACAAAAAAAAAUAUAUCAUAAUCAAACUAGCAAAUUUAGAACUAUGCUGGAAUACUGUUAAUAGCACAAAGUUAUUAGUUUUUUAGUCUUUGGAUUGAGAAAUAUAUGGUUAGGAUGAUGUGUGCCCCCUAGGAUUAAGUGGGUGGUUCGUUAAAUAGUAUGAUCUAACCGAUAAAAAUAAUCAAAGAGUUAAAUCUAACAGUGAAAACUCGAUAGCAUCAAAUUCUUGGUGCUAUCGAUAGUAUUCCAGCCAGACUCCAAACUCAAGUAAUUUUCUAUCACACUUUCUCACUACACGUAACGCCUGCUUCGUACGAAUACAUAAACAAAGUCGACGUGCUAUUAAAAUAUAGCAAAAAUUGCAUACUUUUGCUGAUUGUCAAGUACUUCAUAACAGAUAGCUGCAGCUAAAAGAACGAUCUAUCUAUUUAUAUUUAUAUAUUAUUUCUCAUAAAAUUUACUACGUGACGGUUCCUUCUUUACCUUUUCCUUCUUCUUUUUCCCAUGCUUUCCCUUCCCGCCUACCAUCUUCGUCUGAUGCUUUUGUUACGGUGGUAGGCCUCCAAUAAAUACAUUGUAUAUAAUUGUUAUGGUAUAUAGAGAUUUUUACAAAAAGUAAUUUUCACCUGAUGCUUCUGUUACGGCGGCGGGUCUCCAACAAAUACGUUAUAUAUACUUAUUAUGAUAUAUAGAGAUCUCCACAAAAAGUAAAAUAGAAAAGAGAAGAGAGAAAGAAAAGAAAUCAAAGAAUUUGAUACAUUAUCGUGGAAGCAAAACAAAAUAACUUUAUUGAAGAAAAGUUAACCACCACACGAGGAUGCAUACGGCCAUAAGAUGGUGACCACUAAUUAAUUAGCGCCCAGCUAAGGCUUCAACUUAAUUAAUGCCGGCUUUAUUAGCCAUAAUGAUUCUGGCCUUUUUAUUUAUAACUAAUUAUACGAAAUUCUAGUAUGAUUCGAUUUCAUCUUAAUUAUAAUUUAAAUAACAAAUCUAAUAAUAUAUAAAAUCAAAUAAUCUAAUAUUAAUCUAAUUAUUAAUUAGCAUUAUCUCUAACAGCUUCGUAUUCCCAACCGCCCACCAAUCAAUUAUCAUGUUUGUACGAUUCAUUAUCAUCUAAAUAAAUCAUCUUCACAAAAAAAAAAAAAUUUCUUCAUACUUUUUUUGUUCAUAAUUUUAUUUUUUCUUUUACGUAUAAGAAGGGUUCAUAUUUUGUAAUUUUUUUAAUUUUUUCUCUGAUUUUUCUUAAAUUUGUGGGGAUUGAAAUUAGAAUUUUAAAAAUCAUAACACGGGAUGACAAAGGAAAGCGGUGAUGGAUUUGGAGCCGGCCAGGAAGAAGAAGCAACGGGGUUAGAAGAAUCCGUAUGAAUCAACGGCCGUGACCAAGAAGUAGCUCAAUGCUGACAAGGCGGUGGAGGCGACGUAGAGAUCAGAAUUCGCUUUAAAAAAAAAAAAAACAAGUAAAACAAGAUUUUUUUAUACCUUUUUUUCUCAGGUUUUUUUUUCCUUUUUUUUAGGCACAAGAAAGGAUUAUAUUUUGUAAUUUUCUUAAUUUUUUAUUUUUUAAAUUGUGUGAGUAUUGAAAUUAGGGGUUCGAGAAUUGCCCCGCGGCACAGCAGGGGAAAACGAUAAUAAAUUUAGAGUUAGUGAGGGGAAGAAGCGGUGAGCCUGAAGGGAUCCGUACGGAAUCGAUGUGGCCAUGACCAGGAAGAACUCGAUGCCAACAAUAAAAGCGGAGGCGACGUAGAGAUCGCGAUUCACCUCCCCGAUGUCGGCAACGCGACGAAGGUGUGUAUAGAAUAAUAACUCUAUUGCUGCCUCUAUUUUUUAUUAUUAUAUGUAAUUUAUUUGUUAAAAUUAUAAAUUUGCUAUAUCUGUAUUUGUAUCUAUUUCAUCUUUUUUAUUUUUAUAAAUAUUGAUAUAUUAUUUUUAUUUAUCGAUGUCUUAUGAUAGGUCAAAAAAUUAUAAAUUUUUUUAUUUUGUCAAUUUUUUGUCUUCUAUAGUAUCAACCUGUCGCAACGUGCGAAUACGUAACUUCAUUAGCAUUAUGUAAUUUCUUCAUUUGGCUUCACAUCAACGAUGACUCUACUUAUUUAAUUUGAUUUAUUAAUUUUAGGUUGCAUUUUAUAGUACUUUCUUAACUAUGAGUCAUUUUUGUUUUCGGAAACUGUAAACAUCUCGUCUACAAUUUCGUGUUUAAAUUUUCUUAACUAUGAGACAUUUUUAUUUUACGCAACUGUUGCUGCUAUUACUAUUAUUAUUAUUUUUACUUGAAUGAUUGGAUUACGUAUUUAUGAGUACUAUCUAUCAUAGUUAUCAUGUUCUUAAAAUAUUAGCAAAAUUGUCAAACAUCAUCUUUCCACAAUUAUUGGGCCCUCUCCUAAUUUUUCCAGCACCGGUUGAGCGUUGCAUCACCUCACAAUUGGAUUAAUUCCACUCCAUCAAUGUGACCUUCAACUAAAGUAGUCAUAAGCAUAUAUAUAUACAAAUGUUCUGUGAAAUAUCGUUUAAUUAGUAAUUAACCUCAUUACUCUACAAACAAUUCUAUAAAUUUCAUAUAUCACAACAAUAAAACAGCUCAAUAUAAUUUCUAAGUGAUUUAAGCUUAAAAAAAAGGAAAAAGAACUUGCUAGGUGGAUUAAGAAGCGGUAAAUUGGUGUUAAGUAUACAUCCUAUAUAUGAAAUCUUUUUAAUUACGUGCUAAUUAAAAUGAUAGCUUUGCCACACCAACUUUCAUCAAUUCUCGGAAUAGACAAUGACUGUUUUUUUUUUUUUUUUUAAUUUGAAGAGGAGAUAAAGUACACAUCCAAUUCUCUGUGUUGACACUGUCGAAGUGAUGUGGGUUGAUUUGAUUAGAUACAGUGCUAUUGAUAUGUCGAAAAAUUUAUUUGCUAUUUUAAACUGUGGACACACAUUUAUUAAAAUCCUCUGUAUCAUAUUACGUACAUGCAUAAUCAAUAAUGUUUUAGACCGAUCGACAUUUAAAAAACAUCCUCUAAUAGUUAUAUAAGACCAACAUAUUAAUCCACAACUAAUACAUAGCACAAAUACAAUCUACACAUUAUGCGUAACUAGAAUGAGACACGAGCAACUUCGCAUGUUAGACAUAUAUAUAUUACUAGCACACACCAUCACUGGACUGCCCAAAAAUUAGGAAAUAUCAAACUUUAAUAUAUGUCAUGUUAAAAAGAGACGAAUAAAUUCAAAAUUGUUGGAAGCGUGAUUUGCUCUGAUACUAUUUAUUGGAAGCAUAUUUUGCUCUGAUACCGAUUAUAUAACCCAGGAUCUAAAAUAGAAUAAAAUAAUAUAGAAAAGAGAUAUUAUGGGAGGAAGAAGAUAAUUAAACUAAUAAGUAAUUAAUUAUAUUAUAGGCAAUACCUAUGCAGCCAUGUCUACUAUGGCUUCUUCAUCUAAUAAAUUUAUGUCUAACUAUAUAUAGCCAUCAAAUUAUAAUAGAUGAUAAAUCUAAUUUUACUUUGGAUAAAUACAAAUCCUACUCAAUGUAUAAUUUGGAUAUACUUUAUCUCUAACUAAAUUUUAGAUAAAGUUUAGAUUAUUAUUUCCAACAAAAAUCUUAAGCUGUGGCUCCGUUUACAUCGGGAAUUAGUAGGAACUAGUUAUACCGGGGGAUAGGUACAAGUAUGGAUUUUUGUAGGAAUAAGGGUAUUUUUUUGUUUGGAUAAAAUUGUGAGUAUAAGCUGGAACUAGAAAAAUUAUGUUUGGAUGGUUUUUGAAAAUAAAAGGAAUAGUUGGUAGUUAUAAAUAGAAAAUAAUAAUAUUAUCCCUAUAAUUGAAUUUAAAAUUUUAAAUUUAUAAAUUUUAAAAUUUAAAUUUAAGGCCAAAUUUAAAUUUGAAAUAUAAAAUAUCAAGUUUAAAAUUUAAAAAUUAUUAAUAUCAAAUUUAAAUUUUAAACUUUAAAAUUUACUAUUUAUAAUUUACAAUUUUAAUUUUAAAAUUACAAAAUUUUAAUUCUAAAUUUUAAAACAAAACUCUCUCUCUCUCUACCCAAGUGGGUGGGAACAAGCUUGUUCCACCACUCCCACCUUACCGGGUUAUACCUAUAACCCGGUAAGGUGGAAACAAUAGUUCCCACCAUACUCAAUUUUUGUUUGGGUAUAAAAGAGGGAAUAACCCCCUUAUCCUCCUUUAUAUCCAAUCCAAACGGGGUCUUAAGGAAGAGUUGGGGGGGGGGGAAAGAAAAAAAUAAAAAAGUUUUUAUUUUUUGGGAAAUAGGGGUGGUUUUGUGCCUCUCGUACUAUCGAGGUCUUUGGCCUAGCUUUUAAAAAGCACUUUUGGGCUGAAAAGUUAUUUUCAGCUCAAUAGAGCGUUUUGCAACAUACUUUUAAAAUCCGAUUCUACUUUUUAGAAUCAGAAAACUGAUUAAAAGCCCCACAAUCAGAAGCAAAAAAAAGCUGCUUCUUGAAAUCUGAUUCUGAUUUUGGAUUUAAACUUCAAAUUUUUAUUUUUAUUUUAAUUUCAACAUUUAAAUNUAAAAAAAUCUCUCUCUCUCUCUCUCUCUCUCUCUCUCACAAAUGGGUUGGAACAAGCUUGAAAAGCUUGUUCCAACCCCGGAUGGGAACAAGUGUUCCCACCAUAACGGGUUGUAUUGUACAGGUACAACCCGUUAUGGUGGGAACACUUGUUCCCACCAUCACUAUUUUUUGUUUGGGUAUAAAGGUUGGAUAUUCCUCUUAUCCCCUUCUUUAUAUCCGAGCGGAGUGGUAGGUAAAGAUAAUAUAUGUCCCAUUACAUUCAAAAUAUAUAUCCAACAACUAUUAUUCUUUACAACUAUUAGGUUCCAGUGAUGUGUUCACCUUCCCAAAAAGAAAAGAAAAGAGAAGUAGUUUUCCUGGUGUAAAAUGAAAUGACACACACACAUUUAAAAGCACACAAGAGACAUGCCACGAUCAACGUACAACUUUUUGUUGGUUUGGACAACAACAAUUAAUCACCGUUAAAUAGGUUAAACAGGGCUUUGAAGCAUAACUAGCCAAGAAAUAAUGUCAAGUACUAGAAUUAGAUUGAAGUGGUUGGUCUUAACAAGUGAUGCGUUGAGUCCACCAUCUGCGUGUAAUUUUAAUAAUUUAUUUGUCACCGACCGUUCCUAGAGCAAAUGGCAAAGGGCUUAGUGGUUGGUACCCGAGCCCCAAGUUCGAAUUCUAGUUGAUUCACAUUUUUAGCUAAGUUUAUUUCUAAAUGAAAUAAACGAAACGGGUAACGUGCUAUCUAUCUCUCUCAAAAAAAAAAAAAUAUUUGUCUUUUGGUGUAGUUUCACUAUCCAGAUUCUAAUCCCAUUUUAAUUACUUUUUAUAAAUAGAUUUAGGAUUUAUUCUUAGUGACGAUAUGUAGUCGCAAAAUAUAUUUAUUUAUUCCAAGCUUUCGAAAUAGAGCUAGCAAUCUACUGCAGGAUCCAUGUUUUGCGUAAAUACCUGCGGAAAUUGAAGAGAAUUUUGAAGUUACUAUUGCAUUUGUGUCCCUAAGAAACUUACAUUUUGCAUUUAUGCCACUGAAAAUUAUACCACUUGUAUGUUUUCCUGAACAAUGUUUGACAAGUGCUUUAGAAGAAGAAUUGUAUUAUAAAUUCUUCACCAAAUUUCCUUUGUAGGAACAUCAAAUCAGAGCUUUUAUUUUUUAGCUUUAAAAUUUUAUUUAUGAUCCCUACUGUAGCAGAAGUAUCCUUUUUUAAUCUUUUUCUAAUACAUGCAAAUACUUUAUUGAAGAUGAUAAAGCGCAGCAAAAGAGGCAGUUUAAGGCUUAGUUUGGUAUUGAGGUUUAUCUACCGCUAUUAGAUAAAAUAGAGUUGAGAAAAAAAUAUAUAGGAAUAUGCUUUUGCGUUCUCCGGUGGAAUCGCAGAAAAUAUAUCAUAACCGACUCAUCGCGAUAUGCGGGACGUAAUAUUACAUACGAAAACAAACAUAUUACUUUCUCACCGUACAUAACGCAAUCUCUCUGUAAUCCCAAACGAAGCCUAACUUCUCUUCUUCUUCUAUUUCUUAUAUUUUUUUAUUUUUUAUUUUUUUUGUUCAGGGAAACCAUGCAAAGAGGCAGCUCAUCCUUUGAUCACCAUCACAAAGAAUUUUGUUAUGCCCGUAUAAUUAUGUGCACGUAAAAUCAUGGCAUCAUUAAAAGAUUCACGCGCAUAAAAAUAAAUGCUGCACUGGUGUGUGUUUUACAACAUCAACGAAAAAAUUUUCAAUUCUCCGCACGAUUUGGGAGACAUAUGCAUAAAUUUUUUUUUCUUAAAAAAAUAUUAAUAUUUAUAUUAGAACUCAUAAUAAUGAGAAUGAUUUCGCCGCUGCUUAAUUAGUUGGCAUUGUACUUCUAAAGUGCAAAUUGACAGUGAUGAGGAUUAAUUGCACUACAGCCCAACUAACAAAGAGAAAAUGACACGAGGAUUACGGAAGUGAUGAUUCCAGUUUUCUCUGUCGCUUUGCACCUCAUAUUAAUUAUUGGUUGCAUUAUAUUGCUAAAAAUGCGCCUUGUUGUUAGUUGAUCCAUAUUUAUUCUUACAAAUUGUUGAUGUAUAGAUACAAAAAAAUGUAGAUUUUAUAAAGAGAUUUCGACGACGAAAUUUAAGAGAUUUUAGAUUCAUGUCCGGGGAUGCUUAAAAAAUCUGGGGCUUAAGACUCUAACAAUUGCUAAUAUUUUUUCUCUUGCGUGCAUCUCCUAGUCAUAGUUGUUACCCAAAAGAUUAAUUAAUUAAUUUGAUCGAAAAUAAUUCAGAAAUAAUAUUGACAAUUUCACUAAACAUGUAUAAUGGUAUUGACUUUGUCCGUCUAUGUACUAAUAGAGAGGAGAAAGUUUUAUCUGCACCAUUAAUAUAUUUUAUUUAUUGGAUUUAUAUCAAACCAACCAUCCCAAUGAUGACAUGUUAUCUUAAAGAAAUUAAGUAAAUAUUACACACUAUAUAGUCUCCCUCAUCUAAUAUAUAUAGCUGAGAUAUGGAACAAAUUAAGAACCCAUGAACUUCUUAAGUUUAAUUAUAACUAUUAAAGAACUAUUUCUGACAAACAGUUCUAAUUAUUUCAUGUUUAAAAACUUAAAAUUUUAGAGACAAACUAUUGUUUCAUAUUUAUUUUAACAUCACUAACUAUACGUACCUAGUGCACCUUGAAUAAUUAUAACAUUUCUUUUUUUUCAGUUUUUUUGCGACAACAAAUAUACUAUACCUCGUGGAUCGUACGAAGAAAUUAAUGAAAGCCUAAAGCUAACCAAACGAAGUUUUCUAGUAAGCGGCUCCUUUCGUUGGUAUUAUUAUGCCUUUCACUAUGCAUGUCAUAAACACGGUUCCUUUCUUAGGUAUUGUUUUGUCAUUGUGCAUGGCAUUGAUAAUAGAGGACCCUCUAUCUCUCUCUCUCUAUAUAUAUAUAUAUUAUGUACAAGAACAUGUCUCACUAUUCCUAUGCUCGUGUGCUUUAAUUUAGUACAUUUUGUGUAGCAGUGGUUUGUAUAGCCCAUGGACUUCUCCAAGAGUUUCCUCUUCUUUGCCGUGCUCUCUCUAAUGUCGUCCGCCGCAGACGAGCAGUUGUCGAUUGCGUACUACGCCACAAGCUGCCCGAGCCUUCAUGAGAUUGUGCGCUCGGUCAUGACCCAGGCCGUCGCCGUUGAGCCGAGGAUGGGCGCUUCCAUUCUUCGCCUCUUCUUCCACGAUUGCUUCGUACAUGUAGUUUCCUUCAUUAAUUUGCAUCAUUGAACGUAUAUAUACCAUUUCGAAUGCGCACAAAGGAUAUCUAGAUCCCUAUGUUCAAAUUUUGAUUAGUAAGUAAUACGUAGCACGCGCCAGCAGUUAACACUCAAUUUUUUCGAGAUGUAUCUCAGUUUUAAGUUAUUGUGAUUACAGUGUCCUACAUUUUUUGAGGCUCCAAGAUAAUGCAUGAAACAUUUCGUUAGAUGUUUCGCCACAGUACCAUUUCAUGUUGGUUUUUAUUAGUCACUAACUAACACAUAACUUUCAAAUAGUUACUAGCUUUUAAGGAAAGAAAAAAAAUCAAGAUAAAAUAAAAAACCAGCUUUUUAAAAUUAUAGGAAUGAUGCAUUUUCAAAUGAUUUGUUGGUUGCUUUUCUUUUUUUUUUUAAAAAAAGAAACCUAAAAAAGAAAUGAAAACUAAUCACAUUUAUACGGAUCAUUACUUUUAUUAUGAAUUUUGAGCUCUUAUCCAAUUCUAAACUUUUUUUAUUGAUGUAGCCAAAUUUAUAAGUAAUAUAUAAUUCAUUUUACAUAUUUCUUUUUUUUUUUUAUUCCGCUAACGCAAGUGCACAUCAAUUUUUCUCCUCCUGUGCAUUGAUAUUUCACAAGCAAAAAGUAAUAAAUUAAAAAAGUAGAAUGUGGAAACAGUAGUAAUAAAAGGCUUUACACUUUUUGAUUU